rnacentral:lncRNA from 1 species
CCCUUGGACCCUCCUUGAAUCGGUGAGUUUGCUUCCUUUGCUCACAAAAUUUUAACCAUUUCUCACUUGUACAUUUCUAUCUAUUUUCCAGCUGCAGGAAAUGUCGUGAGUGCAGUUUGAGUCCCAAAAAGGGCCCUACAGCCCAGCUAAUCAUUUCUCACUUGUACAUUUCCUGGUCAGUAUAAUUUUCUGAAAAUUAUUACCUCCUUGGGCCACGUAAUUUUCCUAAGCUCAUAACUAUUUGCUGUAAAACUUUGUUGGGCUAUCCACUCUGAAGCCUGAAUUAGUAUGAGUGGAGGAAGUUGUGGCUUCAUGUGGUAAUCUUAACGGUGUUCGAUUUCUUGAUUGAGUACAUUUGGUUUAUGGAAAUGUCCUUUUUAAUUGCCCUCGACUGAGAUUAUGCUGUGUUCUUGACACUUUAUUUUAUUCUAUUUUAUGUUGAUUUUGCUGUUGGUUCAUCAAAUUAAUUGUUGAUUUGGGAUAAAUUUAUUGGAGUGGCGAUGUGAGAAGUGGUAAUUGAUGGAAUGUUUUCCAUCCCCCGUGUAUGUUGUUGCCUGACCAAAGGAAAGUGUUGGGGUUUUUGUCUUGGAAUUUUCGUGCUUCUUACCUCUGCGAAGAAGCCGUGAAAGUUUUUGGUAUAAUUGCAUACUAGAAUCCCACUCUUGUCAGUAUGUGAGUUGGGGUUAGAUUUCAAUGGGUGAUCUCACACUCGUGUUGUGUUCCAUGUUUUUCUUCUUCGGUUGAGCCGAAGGAAUGCUGGACCUGGGUUAAUGGGCUAUAGUAAUCUCUUGAACUUUAAAAAACGAACGAGACCAGAGAUUCUCAAUUAAUAACUUAAAUAAUAAGAUAAUAAUGAGCAUAUGUAGCUCAAUAACAUCAAGUUGGGAUUCUCAAUUACCAGUGAUGGAACAGAUCAGGUACACCCCUUUAUCAUGUGAUAGAAAUAUAUAAUGGAUUAAAGAAGCUUUGAUGCUAUGAGGAAGACAAAUAUUUUAAAUGCUUUGGUUGUCAUGAGUUUUUCAAAUGCUUUGGUUAUAACUAUUUGGGGGAGGGGGAUAUUCAGUGUAUGUGUUGUUUCACUUUCAAAUUAAUUAAUAUGCCUCCAUCCAAUUCUCAUAUAGAUUUGUCUUUUCCACUUUGAAGACAUUUGAAGCUAUUAUAUUUAAACAAACAAACUUGUUUUAGUUAGUCAAUUGGUAUUUAAUUCUUCGGUUUUAAAAUGUUUAUCUGUAAGUAGGAUAAUUAAUUGAUUGUAAUGGAGAAGAAUUUCCACUUUUGGCCCAUUAGGAAUGCCCAAUUAGUAGAAUUUUAACAUGCCACAACCGAAUAUUGCGAAAUGGUUUAACCAAAUCUAUGGACUAAUAUACAAUCUAACCCAAAAAAAAGUGACGAGUUACGAAAGUUGAUCCGACGGAUUUAACUCGCCUUGCUAUCAGUAUGCAUGUUAAAGUAAAGUAGGUUCAAAGGCAAAAAAACAUGCAUAUGGGGCAAAGUGAGUUGUCUCUUAACUACACGCUGUUCUCUUAAUUGGUCUCUCUGUGCUUUUGAAUUUCAUACCGUGUUUGGUUGAAAGCUUGAUAUUAAAAAUUCAAAGUCCUCCUAAUCUGAUAAGGAAAGCACCAGGUAGCGUUUUAUCUAAUGUUUUCUCCAUAUAGUUGACUAUUUACCCAAGUUCAUGACGAUGCAAGUUGUACGACUAAACUUUUUCCUUGUGCAAUAAAAUGCCAUCUAUUUCAAAGGAUGCUUUACUGUCACAAAAAGGAUGUAAUUGGUACGACAACAUUCAAAAAAUUUAUAAGCUUAUUUGACUAAUUUAUAAAAUAAUUUAAUCAAAUAAAUUUUAUUUAAUACACGAGUUUAUUUUAAUGAUUUAUCAUGUAUCAUUAAGUGGUCUAAAAUAGAUAAUUUAUAAUCACUUAAUAAUUUUUCACAUGAGCGAGGUUGGAUUUAACAAAAAUUAUAUCAAAAUCAUUUACGCAUGACUAUGACUAUUUCAUUUCAUUUGGCUUGAAAAUACUAAGGAAAUCUAAUUAGUUGGAUGAGUAGAAUACGUGAGUGUUAUAAAUUUUUUUAUAUCAUUUUAGAUUUCUAUGGGAAAAAAGAAUUUGCUCGCAAAACUUGAAAGGCGAUUUAGUUUCACAUGAUUGAGAAUGAGGCACCAACCUCCUUGUUGUAAUAUUAAAUUUUCUAUAACUUUUUUUGAAGUAAAGGAUACUUGAUUAGAUGAUGACUAAUAAGUGAAAACUUUACAUAUAAGAAGGAGGCGGAAAAAGUGUAAGUUUGUUACCGACGACAAAAAAAAAGUACUAAUAAUCUAAUAUGAAUAUAGGAUGAAGAGAUCCAUCACAGAUUGGACGGUGGGGGACCAAUGGCACACAAAAAUUCCCAUCCCAGUUUUUGGAGUAAUUAAUGAACUAGUAGCAAUUAUAUAAGAAGUCUUUAUAUGUUAUAUAUUCUGCAUCAAUUUUGUUAAAUAAAAAACUCUGUAAAUUAAUUGGCCAUGUGUUAUUUUUUGCACAUGAAUUUAAAAAAAGGUGGGAGAGCGUGAUAGUUUUAGCUGUCCAGAAAAUAAAGUAAAGAUUAAAAAAUUUGAAUGUGCUUUGCACGUGGGAUACUUUAAUUUUUUUUUCAAGACUUUAAAAAUUAGAAGCCACCUUAUUGUUUACUUAGAUCGGAGAAAAAUAAUAAAAUCGUUUAUAUGUUAAUUUAUUUCACUUUAUAUGUCUAUUUAGUAGUAAUAUAAAGUUCCUGUAAAAAAAAAAGUAGUAAUAUAAAGUCGACAUUUCUCAUUAAUCCCAUUAAUCUUUCCUUUUGUAGAAUCUCUUUAUUUCAUUAACUAAUCUUUCAAAUAAAUGUUUUGUGGGAAUGAAACAAAUCAAACAAACGGGAAGAAAAACAACACAAAUAUUUUUUUUAUAAUCAUCAUUAAAAUUCGAGCCUAAAACUUCAUGGUUACUAUAAAAAAAAUUCAACUUCAGUGAGGGCUAUAAAUUUUCUUUGAUGUACGGAGAUAUUUCUUCAUCCAAACUUCCAUGGACAAGUUUUUUUUCCUAGCUAGGAGAGGUUCAUCUAAUAUAAAUACUAAUAGCAUAAGGGUAUUAUUAACAAUGUAGUUAAGACAUUAGUUAAAAAAAAAAUAAAAAAAUAUUUAUUAUAUAAAUUAUAAAAAAUAUAAAAAAAUUUAUAAAUAAUAUAACUUUCUGUCUACAAAUAAAAAUAUUUUUAUUUUAAAUUUCUUAAUUAACACUUUAAAUGCAUUUAGUAGCAUUUGUCAUACCAUAAUCAACAUAAUAAUAACUAACAUAAUCAAUGCAAAAGUUAACAAACAAGCAAACAUGGUUAUUUGAAGAAUAGUCAUAAACAUUAAUAUAUCAUCAUUAAUCAUUGAUUAAUUUGAAAUGAAGAAAGAUGGGCGAUGCAAUGGAAAGAAACCGGUGGUGAUAGAAAGUUAGUUUCAUGGGACACUUAGGUCCCAAAGUGGAAAAACGCUGUCCCAUAUGAAUGAUGACAUGAUGCCAUGCAGAUAGUACGCAACAAGUGCUACCACAUCAUUGGAUGCUCAAAAAGACCAACCCUUUUAAUAAGUAACUGUUAUUUUUUUUUAACAACUCAAUUAAAAUAUAUCAAAAAAUUACUUUUCACCCCAUUAUAAAUUAUAAUAUAUGGUAAAACAAUUAAAGUUUAUAAUAAUUAUUUUAAAAAUUAGAGUCCAAUUGUCACAAUAAUUUUUUUACAGCAUUAACUAAUUAUAAAUUAUUUUUAUAUACUUAUUUUUAAAAAGUUUAUAUAUAACAUGAUUAUUACUUAGUUUUUUUUAUGAAAAAAUUUAUACAAACAAUAUUAAAUUAAAAGCUUUUUGAAGAGUAAAUAAUUUAAUAUGAUCAGUAUGAAUGAUCCAAUCACAUUUUUUUACACAAUGAUAACGAUGAUCAAACUUAGGUUUUAUAUUAAUACUCAAAUCCUUCAUUAUUAAAUAAGAUUUAAUUGAUAUGAUUCAAUUAAUUGAACUAAUGUGUAAGUUAUUGUAGAUAACCUCUCUUUGAUUUUUACACAAAUUAAGAAACCUUUACUUUUUAACCAAUUCUAAUAGCUUGCUAUUAUGAAUAACAAAUUUAUUAUACUACUGCUUAUCUUACAAAUCAUACUUAGCAUAAAUUUUAAUUAAUUAAUUACCUGUAAAAUUUCUACAAUUAAACUAUUAAUUUAAAAACAAAUAUAGUUAAAGAAAUAAAAAAACAAAAAACAAAAAAGAAGUCCUAUGAUAUUGUUGCUAUGAAGCACCAGACGGACACCUGAACAUCUCUAAUAUCUAAAAUAUAGAACAACGUGGUAGAGUGUUGUGUUGUGUCGGUGUCUGACAACGCGCGACAAGGGAGUGAAGUGUCGUGCUUCAUUGUAUUGUUGUUCCUUUGAUUCAGGGUCGGGUCAGUCUCUCUUCUCUCUCCCUCUAACGUUUCGACAACACGGACUGCACACACAGAAGUCUUCGCCACUCUUUCUCUCUUCAUCAAUAUUCAAGGCUCUCAAGACCACCCUUCAAUUUUGGACCCUUCCAUAUUCGUUUGCAACUCUCUUUCCAUUUUCUACUAUUCUCUCCACCGUCUUCUCUUCUGGUACACAUUUUUCUCCUCUUCUUUGUAGCUCUUCAAUUUUUUUUUCUCUUUUCUAUUAAGAUCUUGUGGGUAACUGUGAAAGCUCGUGUCUUUUUUUUUUUCAUUGUUUUUCCUUUGAGGUAAUUAUGAUUGCGGCUUGGGGUCUGGUUCUGAUGAAGGACUUCGUUUUUGUUAUUUAAGCUUAGAAUUCGUUUUUGUUUUCUGGGAAUUUUGUGUGAUCCUGAAUUUUUGUAUGUUGGGUUGUUUUGAAGUGUGGUUGAGCUGAAACGGUUAAUGAUGGGUUUUUGUUCGCUUUUGUGUGUUGUAUCUUAAAACUGUGGAGUCUUCUGGGAUUGUUCAAAAUUUGCAGCUUUUUCUCAUUGAGUUGUUAAAUGGGAAUGUGGUCCUCUUGGGGGGUUCGUUUUUUCCCUGUUUCCUUAUUCGCGUUUAAUGCUCUGAGAAACAAUUUGGUUUGCAUGUCUUUUGUUAGUGUCGUGAAUAAUGAGUUACGCCUAACUUUUAGCUUUGGGUGUGUGUUUUAAAUUUUUGAUUGGUUCGUUCAUGUACUGUUUAAUGUGGAUCUUGGAAUUUUUUAUGUCUUCUCUAUGGUUGACGAUGUUUCAGUUUUGAAUUUAUUUGUGAAUUGCAGUGGCUUAAUUUCAUUUGCAAAAAAUAGUGGUUAUUUGAAUUCUAUCUUUUUCAUUGGCUUAAUUUGCCCCCUCCUUUUUGCUAUUUUUGCUUUAAUGUUUAUCCUUUUUAAUUAUUUUUACUUUACUGUGUUUUCUGGGGUCAACCCUUUGCUUGUUUUUAAAAUUUUUUGUUUGGUGGCUUUUCAUUUUUUACUUCUUUGGGUUGGUUCGCAUUCUAGAGGAGAAAAUAUCUCAUGUGGUGUGAUUUUAACUGCAGGAUGUCUCUCAAGAUCUGUCUGGGGAGUGAAGCUUAAUUUGAUUAUUGAUAUUAAGGAAUAAGAUCUCAUUCAACACACUAAACAAUAGUGAUUUUGCAAAUGCUAAAUUUUGGCAGGUCCAGAAAUCAGUCAAGGGCAGCCAGAGCUACAACAAUGGGAGGUAUGAUUCUGUCCUCUAAAUUUGAUCAUGAAUGGUAGUAUGAUCAACGUUCUUAUUUUUUUUCCCUUGAAUGAAGUUUGGUUGCUUAAAGUAUUAAUCAAUUUGAAAAUGGGAUUAGAUUAUUGGAAAGCUUUACCUUUUUUAACACUUGACUAUAGGAUAGACUGGGUGCAGGUAUAUGAAUUGACAACAUAAGCUGUUUGUGAAUUCAUCAAUUGUUAUCCCCCCCCCCCCCCCCCCCCACCAUGUAAUUGAUGUAUUAAAAUGUAGUGUCUGUUUUUCUGUCCUUUAGGCAUGGAUUAUGCAGAUCCAAAAAGGAAGGGCAAUUUUGUUGGGAAAGUAUUUCUUGCUGCGGCAUUAACUACACUAUGCAUAAUCAUGAUCAAGCAGUCUCCAUCUUUGAAUUCCCCUAGUCCGGUAAUCCCUAUACCAUUGAUACCAUUAAAAUGCCAUACACCAUUACCAUGGUCAACCUACAUAUGUUAGUGCAUGGGUUAUGUAUGUUGUAUGACCUGUAUCUGUAGAUUAGAUUAUAUUGUUUAUUGUAGUUGAUGUUAUAAUACAUUUGUACCUAACAAUUAGACUUGGGAGAUUUAGGUAUAAAUCCUGUUACACAUGAAUAUAAUGCUUUCUCUUGACAUCUAUAAUCUUUCAUAUUUUAUUUCAUUGUGAAUUUGUGUGUUCAUAAAAGAGACUGGAGACAUUUAUUAGGCCAUUGAGAUUUGAGAGACCUACUGCAUAGUAGUUUUCAGUUAUAAUUCUCUUCUUUCUCUCGCUCAAUCUUCUUACGUAAUAAGUCAACUAUACUUUUUUCUCUUUUAUUCAUCUAGCUAUUGCUAAUUCGUUUUUUUCUUCUGUUUCUCCCCCCUUUUCAGUUUGCAGUUCACGAACCUGGGGUCACUCAUGUUUUAGUAACAGGGGGUGCAGGAUAUAUUGGUUCACAUGCUACUCUACGACUUCUGAAAGAGAAUUAUCGUGUCACCAUAGUAGUAUGUCAAUUCAUAAUGAUUCUCUGUGAAAGCUAAAUGCACUGAUCAGUGUGGUUGCUAAAUACAUAAUAUUUUUUUUCUGGCAGGACAAUCUGUCACGAGGAAAUUUGGGGGCCAUCAAGGUUCUUCAAGACUUAUUUCCAGAACCUGGAAGGCUUCAAUUUAUUUAUGCUGACUUGGGAGAUCCAAUAUCUGUAUGCUUACACACUUUGUUACAAUAAAUACUUUGGUGUCACUUCUUUUUUAUUAUUUUAAUGGCAUGCAUGGGGAAGGUCCAUGAAAGAUUGUUUAUUCGACCGGUUAUCAGGUUAAUAAAAUAUUUUUGGAGAAUAAAUUUGAUGCCGUGAUGCACUUUGCUGCUGUUGCAUAUGUGGGAGAAAGCACUGGUGAUCCUCUUAAGUAAGCACUUCUAGAUUUUGUUCGUCACAUUUAUCUCAGCUCAAAAAGUUGUGGAAUUGGCACUUGUGUUCAGUUUCUAAUUUUCAACAUCUAUAUCUUAGUACCACAAAUCACAUUUUCUUUUUAGAUACACAUUGACAUUUUAAACAUUAUUUGAACUGGCACAGAGAUUUCUAUUAUGGUCUUGGCCUUGCCAAUAAAGUCACGCAUUGAGUCGCACAAACUGUGAUGCAAGAUAAUAUAUUUUUCUAUUUACUGUUCAAUAUUAUGGAUAAGAGCUUCAAAGACAAACCAUAGUUGUUCUUAUUGACGUAAUGUUUGCAAUGCAUACCAGACUAGUAAUAGACAAGUUGGACCAUUUGAAAAUCAUCUUUAUCUAGAGGAUAUUUUUCGUUUGAGUGCACCUAUUUUUGCUAUUGCUACUCUAUGAAAUGCAUUAUGCUAUUGCUAUUGCCAUUCUUUGUAAUUAGAUAUGAUUUUGUUGAGAGUUGGACAAAUUGUUGUUAUGAGAAUGGUAAUUUAGUGUUGGAUUGACCAAAUGUGGUUUUACUUUAUAGAUUUAAUUUAUUUCUAAUUCGCAUGUUUGCCAGGUAUUAUCACAAUAUUACAUCAAACACCUUGUUGGUAUUGGAGUCUAUGGCUAAACAUGAUGUGAAGACAUUGAUAUAUUCCAGUACAUGUGCAACAUACGGGGAACCUGAGAAGAUGCCCAUUACAGAAGAGACAAAGCAGGUGGGAAUCUAAGGAUAGUUGAAUUAUGGGGGUUGGUUGAGAACAUUUUGUUUUUCAUUGCAUCCUGAUUUGACUUUACUGCUUGAGGAGAUUUAGUGUUAAAAUUGAUGUUCUAUUUCUAUAUAUCAGGUCCCAAUAAAUCCAUAUGGGAAAGCCAAGAAGAUGGCAGAAGAUAUUAUUCUUGAUUUUUCUAAAAACUCCGAAAUGGCAGUAAUGAUUCUGAGGUUUGUAUUUUGGAUUUACUUUUCCCUUCAUUUUAAACAGAUUUUUAUAUCUUAUUUGUAUUCCAUUUGCCCUUUUGUUUCAAAAAUUGUAAGUGAUUCUUACUAUAUCUGAAAUAUAUGGAAACCAUGCAAAAUGAUCCAUUUAAUCAAUGCAUAGUUGGGGAAAAUUAUGGAGCUUCCGACAUGUUCCUUUAUGUGUGGAAAACACACAAAAAAAAGACAUUAUUGUAUUUGGAUUCGUUGGUUUUACAAAACUGUCUACCUCAUGUUGUUUGGACUAUUGAUACAUAUACAGUUUGAGGUUUGACUAUGGAUGAAAUAUAGCCAAUCAUUGGAAGUUGAUGAUGUUUUAGAAUUAUCUAUGCUGGUAAUUAUUGAUAACUUUUCUUUGGGAAACCACCAGAUACUUCAAUGUGAUUGGAUCAGACCCCGAGGGAAGAUUGGGUGAGGCUCCUAGGCCCGAACUGCGAGAGCAAGGUCGAAUAUCGGGUGCCUGCUUUGAUGCUGCUCGUGGUAUUGUACCUGGUAUAAAGGUAUGCCCAUUUCAUUUAUGCUUAUGGCAAAAAAGGAAUUCUUAGUAGAAGUCAGGCUAUGUUUGGAUAUUUAAUGAUAAGUGAAAUAGAAUGGAAUGGAGCGAAAUGGGCUUAAAUGGAAUAAAGUUAUCACUUCAUUGUUUAGACUUUAGAUAUGUUGGAAUUGGGAGAAAAGUAAGCCCUAGUUCCUCCCACAUAACACUUCCCCUUCCCCCCAAAUUAGAGGGUUAGAAACAGGAGUAUUGGAUGGAAUGGAUUCAAAUGCAUUCAUUCAAGUUCCAUUCCAUCCCAUUCUAUUUCAAAUACCAAACAAUAGAACCUAGUAUCAUUCUAUUUCAUUACACUUCAUUACAAAAAUCGUAAAUUGCUCUUCUUAAGGAGAUUGCAGUGCAUAUAUUAUGCAUUUUCAGAGGAAUUGAACCAAUAUGGGGCAACUAGCUUAGGCCGUAAUAUUUUUAGAACCAUCAAAGUCUUGAUAAAUCUUCUACUUUUCUUUUCCAUACAUUUAGUCUAGAAUAUAAGUGUUUAACUGAAUUUUCCAACAUCAGAAUAAUGUUCAUAUUUUUCUUGCAAGUGAAAAACUCGAGCUGUUAUGUGUUUAAUUUGUAAUUGCUUAGUAUUCAUAUAAGAUAUUGACUUAGUCCUAAGUUUCCUGCCAAUCACGUUGAAGAAUACUACAUCUAUGGCUUCUUAUACUUAUUAUUUACAACUUGCUCAAAUGGUCUAGAUGAUUAUGUCAUAAACUUGUCCAAUUUUAUUGAAUUCAUUUCAUGUAGUACUUGCAAGUGUGCUCAUUGUGUGCUGCCUCUUUGCAGGUAAGAGGAACAGACUAUAAGACGGCUGAUGGAACUUGUGUACGAGAUUAUAUUGAUGUAACUGACCUGGUUGAUGCUCAUGUGAAAGCUCUGGAAAAGGCGCAACCUAGUAAAGUCGGGUUCUACAAUGUUGGCACUGGAAAGGGUAGGUUAAAAAACUUUGAUCAUGAAUAGCACUUUAGGGGUCGUUUAAUUCUGAAAAAAUAUAUAUAUAUUUUCACUUAUUUCCUGCUUCUUGAAAUUUAUACAGGAAAAAGUGUAAAUAUUGAAAGGGGGUAGAGAAAUGUGUUUACUUGUGUUUUUAUUUUCUGUUUUUUCUUUUUAAUUACCAAACUUGCCAUCUUGUUUUAAAUCCGUUUCAUGUUUUUAAAGAUUUGUACAGGAGGUAGAGAAAUAACAAAAAAAAAAAAAAUUGUUCUGUGUUUCUUGUACAAAUUUUUGAAAACAGAUUGAAAACAAGGUGUCUUUUUUGUAAUUAAAAAUGAAAACAGCAAAUGAAGACAAGAAAUAAAAGCACUAGCAAACGCCCCCUAAAACAAUAAAACACUGUUUUCACUGUUUUCUGUAUUAACAUCUGAAAACAAGGAAUAAAGUAAAAACGGAAAAUAGAACUGGAAAAUGCUCUUAAACCAUUGUAAAUUUCUUUGUAGUAAAAUAGUUUAGCACAUUCCUUAGUUGUCAAGAUUCUCACGGGGUGUUAUGUUUAUCAGGUAGUUCAGUGAAGGAGUUUGUGGAAGCUUGUAAAAAGGCCACAGGGGUGGACAUUAAAGUAGACUACCUUCCACGUCGUCCUGGCGAUUAUGCUGAGGUGUACAGUGACCCCACAAAGAUCAAACAUGAAUUGAAUUGGACUGCUAAGCACACUGAUCUUCAACAGAGUUUGAAGGUUGCAUGGAGAUGGCAGAAAUCUCAUCGUGAUGGUUACGGGGUUUCAAAUGCAGUGCUUUGAAUUACUUAGAAUUCUAACAUAGCAGAAGACUAGAAGAAACCCCAGCAGCAUCCAUUUCAGCUGCAUUUCUAUGAUAUCUUAGAAUAGGGGUUGAUAUUAUUUUUUUCUUCUUUUACUCCACAGUGAUUUGGCAUUGGGGAAUUUGUUCUUAGGGAGCAUGUAGUUCAUUCGUUACAUGUUACAUGUAUUGACCGUAUAAUAUGGUUCAAUAAUAUGAUGCAGAGGCUCUAUUAUAGCUUUUCUCUACAAUGAUAUUUAUAUCACAUUUCAUUUCUCUCUCUCUGUCUCCCGUUUUCCCAUCCCUUAUUUUCCUUCACUCUUACACCACAAAAUACAUAUGGUUUUUCAUCUUUGAAUUCUUCCUUGUAAAGGGCGUGGUGUAGUAAUUGUUGUGCCUGAAUAGAAUCAACAGGUGGGGGUGUCCUUUUGGUCAAUUGGACAUUGGAGAACUGACGAUAAUUCCCCAAGUGGAAGCAUUCAUUGAGGUUAGAUGGGAUGCCCGUGGGUUCUUGCACUACUUGGCCGAAGCGUUAGACAUAGGCUAAGGAGUGUUUAUAGACCAUCGUUUCUUCUUGAUUAGAUCCAUGGCCUUCACAAGUGUUAACUUUUUAGUAACAUUUUUAAACAUAAUACACAUGUACAAUUAUAAAUUACCCUUAUAAUUUGAAAUAUAGGAAAAAAAAAAUCUAUUCAUAAGAAUAAUUCUCACAUGAUAGCCCUCGUGUGGGUAUAUAUAUAUAUAUAUAUUACUUCUUAUAAUAAUAAUAACUAUUCACUUAAUACGUCUUUAAAAAUAAAUCAUUGAUCUGAGACAUAUUUGAUUCAAAUCUCUUGUGUAAGAUUUUGAAUUCGAAUUUUGUGGAUGAAAAAAAUGUAAUUUAAAAAAAUGACUUCACUAAUAAUAGCUAAUCAAGUUUCCUUGACAGAGAUUAGUGAUUAGCAAAAUUGAUAGAUACUUUACAUUAAUGUUAUGGUGACAAAAAAGUAUAUAUAGAAUGAGAUUAAGUAAUCUAAUCAUUUUGAAAUAUUUUAUAAAAUAAAUUUAGCUUAUAAAAUUUCAUGUAAACUAAAAACUAAUUGAUAUUUAAUCGUUCUGUUUUAUUGUGAUAGAUAUGUUAUUUAAAAUAUAAAUCAAUAUUCAUUAUUCGAUAUAUAUCAACAAAUGUCUAAAUUAUAUCAAUUUUAAUAUUAAAAAAUUUAAUAACUAAAUUACUUAAUUUCAUAUUAUACAAAGAGUUAUCAAUAAAUGUAGCUGGUUCUUUCUUCUUUACAUGUUUUGAAGAUAUUAAUUAAGACAUAAUUUUAUGGAACCCCACAAAAUGUGUGUGCGCGCGCUUAUCGUCCUUGUCGUCAUGCAUGCAUGGUUUUAGACUUUGAGGGGUUGUCUGAGGUGUUGUGCGUUGUCGCUUUUGGUUUAUGAAUUUGUGGUCCAGUAUCUCGCUGUCCAAUGAAUUUCGAUUAUUAGUUGACUACACUAAUUAAUCACGCUGCUUUCAAUAACAAAUCAAAUUCAGGUGGGUUGGGACCAUAUUGAUUGAUAUGAACAUCUCUUUUAUUAAUAGGAUUUUGCACGUACGGAUGGACCAUGACUUAUUAAUAUUGUUAAAUGAUAAUAGCUACUUAACAUCACUUUUUUUCCCUCUAGAAAAUGACUAGAAUACAUUGAGAAUAUUCUUAUUACAUUAUCAACACAUUACAUUUAGACAUAUAAUCGUAUAACCAACUUUACCUUUUCUUUGGGGCAUUUGUCACCUUUAUUAUGAUAUUGGUCAUAUUCUCCAUGUAAUCUGCACUGAUAGAUAAACUAUACACCCAAAGAUUUUCUUCAAACUUCGCAAUAUAUGCACUCAUGAAAACUUAGUAGUGAUGAAGACGUAUAGGAAUUCCCUCUGCUGGGAUAGGUAUCGAAGAACCUGAAACCUUCUCAUCAGGAAGUAUAGCUUCCCACUUGAACUUGGUUAUGAGAAUGUGAAUGAAAUUGAGGACCACAAACCGUACAUAGUCUUUUCCAGGGCAAGUUCUUGGUCCAGCUCCAAAGGGUAACCAAGUGUAUGGAACAGGAGCAUUCCCUUCAAACCUUGAGGGAUCAAAACUUUCAGGUUCAUGAAAGUACUUUGGAUUCUUAUUUGUUCCAAUAAAUGCCCAAAAGAUCUUUGAAAAUAAAUGCAAAUAAAGAAGUUAGUAACAAAUUUAAUUUACAUGUAUCAAUUAAUAUCUUAACAAUCUUUCUUUAUCAAGGUACCUUCCACCCCUUUGGAAUAGUAAAACCUUCAUAGGUUAUAUCUGUUAUUGCCUCUCUGAAUGCACCUGGUGCAGUUGGGUAGAGUCUCAUGGUCUCUUGUGCAACAGCCCAUGUGUAUUUCAAUUUCUGUAUGCUGUUCCAAUCUAGUGCAGUACCGGAUCCUUUGGAUAUUGUAAUAUCAGCAUGCUCUGAUUCAAAUAAAAGUAAGCAAGAUAUAUAGCCUUUUUUAGAAAGGAAAAUUAAGCACACAUAAUUCUGUUGGGCCUUAUUUGUCACUGCCACUUACAUUUUGGCUAUGUGGUUUGUCAACCUUAUUUUGUUUCAGAAUCUUGCAUUUUGAUUCCAAAAAGAAAAGCCAAAAACACAAACUAUACUCUCCUGGCUUAAACCCAAAAUCAUAUUUUAUCUCACACCACCUUAAAAUAGCUACAGUAUUUUCCACAGACAAAACUUAGAUGCAGUUUCUUAGCUAUUUCUGGUAUUGUUUUCUGAUUAAAAUUAGAAUUUCACGUCAGCAAUUUGCAUAUUAAAGAUUUAGGUAAAAAGUUACUAUAAGUCAUUAAGUUGGAAUUCCAAUUCUGAUUAGAGAGCUGCACUAAAAGUAGCUAAGAAGCUGUAUUUAAAUUUUGUCCUAUGUUAUAUACAAUUAGUAUCUUAAAUUACCGGAUAAGAUUUUUUGGUAGAUAUCAGGCCUCUGUCCAAUGUGUUUGAUCAUGAAAGCCAGGGUAAUAGCUAUUGGCAUGUGGCUGGAAUUCAUCAACCCCAUGAUGAUGUUACUUAUUUCAAGUCUUGGCACAUAUUUUCCAUCCUGCUCAGCACCAACUACGUGUGCUAUUAGGUCAUCCACAACUUGCCCCUUGGACAAAGCAUCGAUCUUCUCUUUGAUCAGAAUUUGGAUCUCUUUCCUUAUAGCAGCUGCAGCCUUCAGUGCCCUAUGGUAUGUGGAGCCUGGAAAAUUCACAGGAACAGAAUAGAUACCAAAAUACAAGUUCUCAAACUCACUGGCAAAUUUUGGUCCAUCAAUUCCUAAGAAGAAUUGGCAUCCAAGUGUAAGGGAAAAGGCCUUCACCAAAGGGUACACCUUCACUUCUUUUUUUCCUUCCCAGUGUGUAAUGAAAUGUUGGUUCAUGGUGGAUUCAAUCUUGUUCCCCAUGUACCUAGAUAUUCCCUCAGGUUUCAGAAUCCCCAAGAUCUUCACAGGAGCAGCAGAUGCAGCUUCUUGUGUUGGUUUUGGCAUAGGUGCAUGUCUUUGAUCAGGAAUGAUGAAGAACCUGCGCUGAGUUUUCAUGUACGAGACCUUGACAAGCUUUGUCUCAUUGGUGGAGACAAAUUUGUUUGCUCCAGGGCCACAAAGAACCACUGUUGACUCUCCAAGAAUGUGUGUGUGGAAGAUCUCUGAGGAGUGCUUUUGAACCCUCUCUUGAAGGAAAUGUUCAAUCUUGUUGAACAAAAAUUGGUAGGUUUCACCCACUAGGGGCCACCCAAAGCUACCUGGGGGCAAGCUUUUAGUGCUACCUAGUACUAGUAGUUUUCUUCUUUUCUGCAAAACAAAGAUAGAUGCAACCAAGGUGAGCAAAGUAAGUAACAAAGAUUGCAUGAAAAAAUCCAUUUCAAGCCACAAAGUUUCUAUGCUUGCUAGAUGGUAUUCUAGAAAUGUUGAUUGUUGAACACUCUUUAUAAAGAAGUCACCGAGCCAAUCCACAUUUCUCUCUCUCUCCAGCUGAUAUCAUAGUUUGUUUUGAAUAAUAAUUAAUGACAACCAUGACCCAACAUAUUAGAUGGCACUUGGACAUAGAAAAAAAGAAAAUAUAGAUAUAAUAUAUGAUAUGAUUUGUGAUAAAAAAAUAAUAGAUGUUUGAUAUAUGAGUAUCCAUAUGUGGAUCCAUUUUCUUUUGAAAAAUGAGACAAGGUUGAAAGAAUAAAUAACUGUUGUUUGUGAUAAUGGUUCUAUCUUCAUUGUUAAUUGUCAUUGCAAAAAUAAAUUAAUAAAAAGAACUGCUUCUGUUUCUCUCUCUAUACAGCAGAUAUUAUAAAAAAAAAAUAAUCGAUGUUGUUUUACUACAAUUUUUUAACGCAUGUCAUUGUACCAGCUAUUUUUAAUAUUUUUCUUAAAUUUUAUCUAAUAUAUUGUAUAUGUGUAUGCAAUACAGAUUAUUAAGCUAAAUUGUUAAGUUGAGCUCCGCUAGGUUACUGAUAUACUAUGAAGCAUGGAUAUUCUAGUUCUUUAUCGUGUUCGGUGUUUGACACGCAUCCGUGUCAGUAUUCAACACGGACACGAUACCCGUCUACGUUUUAUAUUUUGGACAUUACAAGUAUUUACGUGUCCGUGUCGGUACUUUAUAGCUGAUAUAAGUCUCAUAAGUUAUUCUCGAAGUGAAUAAAAAAACAAUGAAAGAUUUAUUUCCUGCAUUUUUAUAAAAUAGUUUUCAACUGAGGAAAUUUUGGUUUAAGGUCAUCAACGGAACCUGAAUGCUACAUUCAACAUAUUGGACUAAUUGUUUAACAAAUUUUAUUUUUUAAAACUUAAAGAGGUUAUAUAUUAGAAAGAAAGAUGACAAAAAAUGAUAGAUUUCUGUUAGGGUCACGUUCGAAGAGAGAAGGGAGGAAGUACUCUAAGCUAUUACUCAAGGGGUUUCUAUCUCCUUUAUUCAUCAGUGAGCCUGUCUUUUAUACAAGUUCUAUAUGAGUUAGGGCUUGUAACUACCCGUGUAACAGAAUAACGGCCUGUUAACUAACUAACUACAAUCCAACUAAUUGGUACAUGUGCAUGGCUUCUGCAUAAUGCUUACACGUAGUCUUCGAGGUGUUUAGGGCGUGAGAUCUCCCUUCGUGGUCGAGCUAUUGGGUCUGUACUAACAAUAUCCUCCCCUGGAAAACUCACCUUGCCCUCAAGGUGAUGAGCAUCACGAAUAAGGUCCCAUUUUUCCCAGGUGGAGUCUUCUGGUGGUAGGUCGACCCACUGAACGAGUACCCAACGAGUGGGUGGUGAAGUGGUGGUAUCAAUGCGAGUGUUGAGGAUGGUUAAUGGUUCAAGGACGGGUUGGUUGUGAAGAGUCUCUGGUGGAAGAGAGGAGGUGGGUAAGUCGAGGGACCCAUGAUGAGGACGAAGGAGCGAAGAAUGAAACACGGGGUGUAUUUUAGACCCCGGAGGAAGUUGCAGACGGUAUGCGACUUUCCCAAUGCAUUCUAAAACCCGAAAUGGUCUGAAGUAACGCUUAGAUAGCUUGUGAUGCUUGUUAGGCCGUACGGAGUUCUGACGAUAAGGACGAAGCUUGACAUAGACAAGCUGUCCUUCGUGGUAUUGGACAUCGCGACGCUUGCGGUCUGCAAAUUCCUUCAUGGCGAGCUGGGCUUUGAUGAGCUUGUGUUUGAGCAGUGUGUGAAUCUCCUCUCGCGUGCGUAGCACAUCCUCGACGGCUUCAUUAGAGGAAGAACCCAGGAGGUAGCGAGGGAUAGAUGGAGGAGGCUUUCCGUAGACGGCUUCGUAGGGAGUGAUGCCGGUACCGGAGUGGGGUGAGGAGUUGUAGGACCAUUCUGCCAUGGCCAGGAAUUUGUACCAAUUUGAGGGUUGCUGACGAACAAAUGAACGGAGGUACUUUUCGAUGGUACGAUUCAUAGCUUCGGUUUGUCCGUCCGAUUGGGGAUGGUAUGCUGUAGUCAUGCGCAGUGUCGUGCCGGAGAGGCGAAAGAGCUCACGCCAGAAGGAGCUAAGGAAAAUUGGAUCGCGAUCAGAGAUGAUGCUUCGUGGGAAUCCAUGGAGUUUGCAAACCGUAUCAACGAAUAAAGUGGCUACCUUAAAGGCGGAAAACUGUGUUGGUAAGGCGCCGAGAUGGACACCCUUGGAGAACCGAUCAACGACGACGAGGAUGACCGUGAAGCCAUGUGAGCUCGGGAGGUGCGUGAUGAAAUCGAUAGAUAAAUCUUCCCAGAUGUUGCUAGGGAUAGGGAUUGGUUGCAGAAGUCCUGCUGGUUUGCGAGUAAGGUGCUUGACUUGUUGGCAUAUACUGCACUUGCGAAUGAAUGCCUUGACGUCGUUUGACAUAGAACUCCAAUGGAAGUUCGAACGCAGGCGAUGCAACGUCUUUUUUACUCCAAAGUGACCCCCAAUGGGUGUUGCAUGGUACUCGUGGAGGAGUGAUGGUAUGAAUGGGUUCUGGGGGUUUAUCCAGAUAGCGCCUUUGAAGAAUAUAAGGUCAUUGGAGAGUGUAAAGUCACGGUGUUGAUCGGGAUGGGAGUGUAUGGCCUCGAGUUGUUGAUGAUACUCCGGACUCGUGAGUAAUGAAGCUUUGAGUUGUACCAAGAAGUCUUCGUGAGGAAUCGAGAGGAUGAGACACUGGCCCUGAGGAAGGUUCUCAAUGCGUGAUAGAGAGUCGGCAACGACAUUGGAUGAACCGGCCUUGUACUGAAUGUCGUAAUCGAACCCUAAUAGCUUAGCUAGAUAGAACUGUUGUUCAGGCGUUUGAACCACUUGAGACAUCAGCUCCUGGAGACUGCGAUGAUCAGUGAAUAUUGUGAACCUGUGUCCUAAAAGGUAUUGGCGCCACCUUCGGACUGCCGCCGUGAUGGCAUGUAGCUCCCGUACGUAUGCCGAGGCGUGCUGAAGACGAGGGCAAAAGGGCUUACUAAAAUAAGCAAUGGGGUGGUUAUGUUGCUGGAGAACUGCUCCCAUGGCGAUACCUGAUGCGUCUGUUUCGAGGGCAAAAGGGUGUGUGAAAUCUAGUAAGGCAAGCACUGGGGUGGUUACCAUGGCUUCCUUUAAAGCUUCGAAGGCAACUUGAGACUCAGAUGUCCAGUUGAAGGCAUCGCGGCAGAGAAGUUUGGUUAAUGGCGCCGCCAAGGUCGCAUAUCCUUUAACGAAUUUCCUGUAGAACCCUGUGAGACCAAGGAAUGCGCGAAGGUCCUUCGGAGUGAGAGGAAUAGGCCAAUCGGUAAUAGCCUGAAUUUUGGAGGGGUCUGGUUGUACCCCGCUACCGGAAACCACGUGACCCAGGUAGUCAAGCUUGCGCUGUCCGAUCAAACACUUCGAACGUUUGAGGUAAUAUUUGGCCUGUGAGAGAGCAUGGAAGAUACAUUCUAAAUGUUGAAGAUGGUCAGGGAGAGACUUACUGUAGAUUAGUAUAUCAUCAAAGAAGACUGCUGCAAAUUUUCGUAGGAAGGGACUGAGCAAGGCGUUCAUGGCCGCCUGGAACGUCGACGGAGCAUUGCACAGCCCAAAGGGCAUCACGCGAUACUCAUAGUGUCCGUGAUGGGUCCGGAACGCGGUUUUGGGCACAUCUGCGUCUGCCAUCAAGAUUUGAUGGAAGCCUUGCCUCAAAUCAAGCUUCGAAAACCAUGAAGCAUGGCCAAGUUCAUCAAGAAGCUCGUCGAUGGUGGGGAUCGGGAAACGGUCGCGUAUAGUGAUGGAGUUAAGGGCGCGGUAGUCGACGCACAUACGCCACGUGCCGUCCUUCUUCUUUACUAAGAGGACGGGUGAAGAGAAUGGACUCCGGCUCGGCUGAAUGAAUCCCGAUUCGAGCAGAGCUGACACUUGCUUUUCUAUUUCAUUUUUCUGAAAAUGAGGGUAUUUAUAGGGCCUGACAUUAACAGGAUGGGCAGAUGGGAUGAGGUUUAUAUAAUGGUCAUGUUGACGAGGGGGUGGAAGUGAUGAAGGUUGCUGGAAAAUGGUGUGGAAUCUGAGCAAAAGCUCGUUAAUGGCGGAUAUAGGGUGGGGCGGGUCAGGGGCGGUUUCGGGUAUGUGGGUGGGUAGGAGUGAUAAGUGGAAGAGGCCUGAGAGUGAGUGAGUGUGAAGGAGACGCUUAACUUGAUGGGCCGAGGCUGUGUCUGUGCAUGUAGUAACGUCAGCACGGAGGAUAAUGGGCUGGCCCAAGUGGGUGAACUGCAUAGUGAAGGAGGUGUAGUCGGUAAUAAUUGGGCCCAAGGUUCUUAGCCAUUCAACACCCAAAACGACGUCGGCGCCACUUAUCGGGAGGACACGUAGUGUCACCGUGAAUGAGUGUUGUUGAAGGAGGAGGGUGGUGGCGGGGCACGACUGCUUGCACUCGAGUACCGAGCCGUUUCCGACCAUCACCUGAAGGGAAGUAGUAUCUUCCAUAGGUAGGCCCAGAAAUUUCGCGAUUCGCGGCUGAACGAAGUUAUGUGUACUGCCACUAUCUACUAAGAUGGUGACGCGAGUGUGAUUGAUCACGCCGUAGAGUCGGAACGUAUCGGUGGCCGGAACACCAGCCAUAGCGUGAAGACUAAUGUGUGGAAGGAGAGGAGUGGGGUCGAAUGGGGGUAAAGUAGCUUGGGUGGGUGGAGCUGGGUCCUCCAUUGAAGGGUUGUCCAUAAAGCUUGCUUCGUCGGAAUCGGCAAUGAAUAGAAGUACACGACCCUUACAACGAUGCGAUGAGGACCAUUUUUCCUCGCAAUUAUAACACAGGCCUUUCUCACGCCUGUAGGCCAUUUCUUCUGGGGUUCGUUGUACGAAUGGUGGUUUGGUUCGAGGUGGUUGGUGUUGUGUGGUGAGGGAGGGAGAAGGUGUUUGUGGCGGGGGAAGAGAGGUUCGUGAAUGUUUUCGACGAUCAUUCAACUUGUCUUCUUGUAGACGUGCUAGUGCCAUGGCGUGGGGAAGAGAUACAGGUUGAAAUGCUUGAACUUCGCGUCUAAUCUCUGUGUUUAAACCAGAUACAAAACAGCUUAAUAGCAUGGGAGGGGAAAGACCAACAAUACGGUUGGCUAGCCUUUCAAACUCCGUCAAGUAUUCUGUGACUGAAGCUCGCUGUGUCAGCUUGAAUAACGCACCGCGAGGGUCAUCGUAAAAUGAUGGUGCAAAGCGUGUCUCAAUAGCCUGAAGUAACGCCGGCCAUGAGGUAAUAAAACCGUUCUGAUGCAUCCACUGGAACCAGCUAAGUGCUGCGCCGUCGAGGUAGAACGAGGCAACUGUAAUACGUUCUUCCUCUGGAGUGCCUUGAUACUCGAAAAAUUGCGAGAUUUUAAAGAUCCAUCCAAGCGGAUCAUGGCCGUCGAAACACGGCACAUCGAGCUUAACGGGAGGUCAUUGGUGUGAGCGGAGAGAUGGGGAAGGAGAUGGAGCCAUGGAGGAGAAACGCUCGAAUAUAGCGUCAACUUUAUUAGCUAAUUCAGAGUGUUUGGUGGUAAGGGUGGAGAUAGCUUCUUCAAGUCUAUCAGUAGUGGUACGGCGGGUUCCGUGUUCCGCCAUGGUCAACGGCAGGUCGGACCAAGUUGUUAGGGUCACGUUCGAAGAGAGAAGGGAGGAAGUACUCUAAGCUAUUACUCAAGGGGUUUCUAUCUCCUUUAUUCAUCAGUGAGCCUGUCUUUUAUACAAGUUCUAUAUGAGUUAGGGCUUGUAACUACCCGUGUAACAGAAUAACGGCCUGUUAACUAACUAACUACAAUCCAACUAAUUGGUACAUGUGCAUGGCUUCUGCAUAAUGCUUACACGUAGUCUUCGAGGUGUUUAGGGCGUGAGAUCUCCCUUCGUGGUCGAGCUAUUGGGUCUGUACUAACAAUUUCACUCACUAGAAGCCACCCAAAACUAAGUGGAGGCAACCUUUUACUGCCACCUAGUAUUCGUCCUUGCAAAACACAUAUGAAGUCAAGGAGAUUAUAAUUAGUAUAAUAAAUUUGCAAGAAAAGUUUCAAACUACACAAGUUCUAGAUGAUAGUGUAUGUUGAACUGCUUUUAUAUAUAUAGGUCGCAAAAUAAUGUCUUUGGUGGUUCUUUUUUCUUUUUUAUUUCUAAAGCUUCCCCAGAUCAUGAUAUAGACAAAGAUUAUCCAAAACAAACUUUUCCACAAAUCGCGACUUUUCUAACUGCAUGCAAUUGUCUAUUGUACCUAUCUAUCUCUCUACUUGGCAUCAUGUAUAUAAGUUCUGUAUAUUUCUUGCUGGUUAUUAUCUUUUCUCUCACCCUACGUAUAAAACAAUGGGCGUAGAUUUGACUUUUGACAAAUGUCCAUUGAUAAAUGUCAUCAUUUUUUUUAUAUAAUGAAAACAAUGGGCGUAACUUUUUUAUAUUGCUGGUUAUUUUCAUAUAAGAUGUCUUUAGUAAGAAUGUCAUUAGGCACAUGACUUUUUUCUAACUAAUUAGAUGCUAUUAAAUCUUAAUAAUUUAUGUAUGAAAUUAUGGUUCAAAAUUAUAUUCUUUUUUUUUUAACGAAAGGUAUCGAAGACUUCUUAUUUGACAUCCAAUUAAUUAUUUCUCAUUGAAUUGACUCAUUUUGAGAUAAAGUAAUAUUUUUAAUUGUGAUUCCAUAUCAAAGUUAGAGAUUAAAUCCUAAAUCUUAAUUAAAGAACUAAAAUAUUGAACCACUUAUACCAACAACUUUUAAGAAAAUUACUCUUUUCACUUAUAAAAAAAUAACUUUUAUCAAAUACCUUCCUUGUGAGAUUUUUUUUAUUAUAAGAAAUAAGUGUUAUAAACUUAAAUUAUUAAAUCAUAUUUAAAUAAUCGAGAUUAAAACACACACAUUAAAACCUUAAAUUUUUCAUAACAAUAAUUUGUUCCAAUCAUUAAGAUGAUAGAUUAAAGGGGAGUUUUAUAUAACCUAUAAUUUAUAUUAUAAUUUUUGAAUUUUUAAAAUAAAAUAAUCUAUAAUUAUUCUUUCAUUUAAAUAUAUUUUUCAUUUUAGGAUAUAUGUCACGAAGUUUUAUAUCAAACUAAAUUAUAGUAUUUUUCACUACAUCCGCACUAUUACAUAUUAUUAGAUGGUUCCAGUAUAAUUUAAUUGAUAAAAUAAAAUGUAAGUUAAAUGUGUGAAUUAUUAUAAUUUUUUUGACAUUAUUUUCUAUUCCUAGUAUCUAAAAAUAUCAUACCGUAUCAUCUACCAGAUAACCUGCCGCCAACGAAGAAAGGAUCAAAGUGAUGGCUUUUAAAAAUAUCAAUAGACAAAAUUCAUAAUCAAUUACAUUAAUUUGUACUCUACCUUUUUAAUUAAAGAUUAAAAUAGGAAUUUAUACAUAUAUACUAUAAAAGGGAAAUCUGUUACUAGUUUAGUGACUAUCAUCAGGUCACUAUAGUCUUUCCCCUAAAAAAGAGAGGUCACUAUAGUCUUGCCCGUUAAAAAAAGUAAAAGUAGGCAUAAAGACAACUGAUUAUUAAUCAAAAUGUACGAAACAGCAUAAUAGUAUAAAAUAAAAACAAGCGUCAGCAUAAAAAUGAAAAAUAAUAAUAAACUUAACAAAAUAUCCCAAACUAUAUUUUAGUUGUAUCGAUAUAUAUUCCAAGCAAUUUAAUUCUAUUUUAAUACAUCAAUAAUCAUACUAUAGUUGUUACCCGAUUCUUAGUUUUCCCUGGGCAUCACUUUUCUCAUAGUACAUUAUCUCUCCAUUAUUAAUGUUGUGCCUAGUCAUUUGAAUUGUUUUGUAUGUCUCCAUUAUUAGUUUUAGAUGCUCUUUGUGGUCCUGUAUCUGGUCCUUCUUCACUAUCACUGGACAUUCGUAUAUAUUGCCGUUAAUUGGAGAUUUAAUUUUCCCUAGCCUCCCCCACUGUAAUAUAAAUAAAAAUCAUAAUAGUUGCUUUUAAGUUUUAUUAAUUUUAUAUAAGAGCUAUACGUGCUUGCAAAAGUCAAGUAUCCAUUAAAAUAAUUAGACCCAAAUCUAAUGAGUAUUCAUUAAAACUAUCUACAAUACAUAGACAAUAAUUCAUUUAUAUGGGUCUUUCUAUUCACAAAAAUUUAAAAGUAUGAGUGUAGGUUUGUCUACUAUUAUAAUGUCCGAAGAGUAUUAAAUAAGGGGGUAUUUAUACAAGAGGAUAAUAAAUAUAAGUUUGGAUCAUAUAGUCAUAGAUAAAUACAUUGACGAGCUUACAUAGUCAAAAGUUCACUGGUAUAUAAAUGUAUUUCCUAUAUUUGAUAACAUUACAAGUAAAAAUAUAGAUAAGAUUCACGCAUCUUAUUCUCUCAUAAUAAAAGUCUUCUUACUUGAUAUGCCACGUGUUUGUAUAUUGAGAAAAUUAAUUGAGCUAGAUGUUAUACCCAUAAUUAAUGUUUUAUUAAUUCAUUACAAUUAGUUCCGAUACUGAAAUGGCAUAUUUGUCUUGUAAAAAAGAAGGCAUUAAAAUGUUUCAUUAAAAUGGCACUCUUUAUUUUAUCAACACACUCUAUAUAAUCAAUAUUAAUAAUAAGUGUGUUAAUAAAUACUAAUAACACUUCUCUUAUACUCCUUUGAUUCUAUUAUAAUUAUUGUCUUAGCUUCUUUUAUAUAUAAGAAAAAAAUUAUAAAAUUAAUCUUUAUCAUCAUUAACUCUUUUUUUUGGGGGGGUUUGUGAUACAAAGAAAACCAUGAAGAAGCUAGGCUAGCCCAACUAAGGCAGGGAGGCCCGUCUAGCAGUAGAACAAGGCCUAAAACCCUACCCAUGUUGGUCAUCGGGUUUGACCCGACCCAGAUCGGAGCAAAUAUGAUUUGUUUGUUCACUUGUUCCAAUAAAAAUAACGUUAGUACCGCGAUUAUGGCCUGGGAAGAACAUUGGAAGUGAUAAGUGAUAAAACAGAGUUUCGUUGAAUCUGCACUAAAACCCUACGCACACAUCUUGGUGUAAGUCCAAUCGAUAUAGCAGCAAUGUCUACGCUUGAAAUUGAAGCUCGAGAGUAAGUAGUUUCAUUUGCCAACUCUUGAAAAUCGGGAAAUUUAAUUUUCUUCGUUUACUGAAUCACAUGUUUCAAUUUUGUUUGACGUCUAAUUGAAGCUCGUUUAAUGGUUCUUUCGCACAAUAGAUCUUUUUUCUUUUUUAAAUUUAUGUGUCAUUUUCAAUUUCUGUUUGCCCCUUCGCAGUGUCAUCAAAAUUGUGCUUCAGUUUUGCAAAGAGAAUUCGUUGCAUCAGACUUUUCAGAUGCUGCAGAACGAAUGCCAGGUUUCUCUGAACACUGUUGACAGCAUUGAAACCUUUGUUGCUGAUAUUAAUAGUGGAAGAUGGGAUGCGAUAUUGCCUCAAGUUUCUCAACUCAAGCUUCCCAGGAAUAAGUUGGAGGAUUUGUAUGAGCAGGUAUUUUGUGUUGCGUGUGACUCACUUUGGUUUAUGGCUUGUCCCUGUUUAGUGUAUGUUCACUCUAUCACAAACUAAAAUGCUGGGUAUGGACUUUAUGACGGCUUUUAAACCCUGUCAUUUAUAUGAACAGCUUUAAAUUUUAAUUGGGCAAUGAGGUUGGGUGGAGUUGUUGAGAUUUGGUAGGAUAGGCUGAAAUGUUGAAAUAGAGGCUGGUGAGGGUCAAAAUAUUGAUGCAGUUGACAUAUGAAAUGCUGAAUGCUGUUGCUAAUCAAUCUUGCUAGAUGAAUGUUGUUGUUAAUCAAUCUGCCUAACCUAAACUCUGUUGCUGGUUAGUGUUAGCAAGUAGUAGCUACUGGGAUGGUGCCCUUUUAGAUAUUGAGUUGUUGAUCCUCAUUUGCUUUUUGUGUAGCUGGUUCACUAGCUUUUAAGUGCAUAAUCAUUUUUUUUUAAUUAUGUGCUGUUCAAAUUUUAGGGGAGUUGUAAUAUUUUUCUGUGCUAUAUAAGUAGUUUAAUAAUAGAAUUGUGUUCAUGUGUGAUCCCCCCCCCCCCAAUUGGCUAAAAUACAAUGUGUUAAACUGUUAAUAACUUAUUUCAAAAAAGAGAGAAUCAUAAGGACUUAAAUAACUGAUUUAAGUUAAUAAUUCCACUCUCCUCAUGGGUGGAAUAAAGGGUGCUUUAAUUUUGGUAGAAAUUGAUGCUGAAAGAAUUUAUUUUGGAACAAUUUAGGUUAAAAAAAUAUUAUUUGUAUUCGCAAAUGAUAUUUUAAGAGUGAGUUGAGAAGAAACGAUUUUGUUAGAUGGCAAAGUAUAAUAAUUUUUGAACUAUAAAUAUAAAUAAUUAUUUGUGCCCCACAUCUGGAUUCAAUUCUUGUCAAUGGAGUAAGCUAAAAAAUUUCACUUGUCUUUGAGAAUGCUUGAUAGUUGCCAAAUGAGGUAGGCUACUAGGAAUCAAUUUUUCCCCCUUCACUGUGAAAGUGGUGCUAAAAAAUCAGGCUAAAAGAGUAUUGAGCUGAGCGAAUACAAAUAAAGUGAUAUUCAGGAAUUGUUGUUCAGCAGUGUUUGACUGUUUGCUAUUCAUAAACUCUUGUCUUGUACUCUGUAAAACCUUGAUCUGUAUAACACUCUAAUAAUGUUGUUUGUUUCAGUCAAGUUAGUGAUGUUUCAAAUAGAUUUGUAUUUUAACAUGAUUGCAGAUUGUAUUAGAAAUGAUUGAACUUCGAGAACUGGAUACUGCACGUGCUAUUUUAAGGCAAACGCAGGUGAUGGGUGUAAUGAAACAAGAGCAGCCUGAAAGAUAUUUGCGUCUUGAUCAUCUCCUAGUUAGAACUUAUUUUGAUCCAAAUGAGGUUAGAAAUACAUUCUGUAAUUCUUUUUUUUUUUUCGAUUUCAUGUUGUGAUUGUUGUCUAAAUUAAGCAACUUGUCGCUUUUUUCCCUUUUUUCUAUUUUGUUUCUGCACUUUGCUACAAUUGUAUCAUCAUUCAGUUUUAACUCUGAUGGAAAAUUUUCAAGGACUAAAAAAAAUCAUUAACACUUAUUAUUAUCUGUUCUUGGAAUAAUGAGUAUUAUAGAAUGAAUAAUGACUUAUGAAGUUUUUUUUCUAGCCAUGUGCUCUGGAUUGAUAUUUAUUGGACCUCAUUUUGUUUAUUUGCACAAGGUUUUAUAAUUUAUGUCCAAUGUGACAGGCUUAUCAAGACUCAACAAAAGAGAAGCGACGUGCACAAAUAGCCCAAGGUUUCUGUCUUUACUUUUGCAGCAGUUACUAUCUAGUUGUGAUGCUAUUUUUUUUUUUACUUUUUUAUUUUAAUGAACAACUGUUUCUUGAUUGGAAAUGAAAGUUUUCUUCUUCCAUUGCUAGGGAUACAGACAAACAGUUUGUUAUUGAUCUUUUAUUUUGGGGUUUUACUUUAAGAACUUCUCUUUCAUUGCAUUUUCAGCUAUUGCAGCAGAAGUUACUGUAGUGCCACCAUCCCGAUUGAUGGCUUUAAUUGGUCAGGCUUUGAAGUGGCAGCAGCAUCAAGGUAAUUUCCUAGUAACAUGUUGAUGCCACAUUAAAUUACUUUCAUGGUCAACUUUUGUAUGAAAAUUAAGAUUUAUCAUCACUGUGGUCAUCUGCUUACAAGUUCUUUUGUUGUGUUUCCUAUGCAAUUCACUGUGUUAUUUAUUUUUUGUUCUUUUGUCUCGGGAGCCAGGACAAAGCCUUUACUUCAUUUCUACAACUUAUAGAUGCUAGGAAUGAAUAUUUCAGUUAUAUGCAUGCAUGAUGCAUCUUUCAUUUCUCUAAUAAUCAGCAGAAAAGAAACUUCUUGUUGGAAAGCCGCUUUAAUUGUGGUCACUCUAAGCCUGCCUUCAUUGAAGCCUCCAACACCUUUGUGCUGGGCAUGAGUGGCUGUGUUUAGUCCUGCAUCGCUUAGUGAUAUGGCAUAACUUCCUAAGUAGUGCUUAUAAGGCAUGUUUGGUUGUAUUGGGAAAAAAGCCAAGUUCCACAUCGGCUAGAGAUGAGGCCAAGAUAGAAUAUAUAAGUGGGGGACAACCCUCAUCCCAUGAACUAGCUUUUGGGGUUCAAUUAGGCUCAAACCCAAAUUUUAAGAUGGUAUCAGAGCCUAUCCUAGAUCCAUUAAAUGGGUUACCCACCAUGUCAUCCAUACACCAAGCCCAAAAGUGUCUGGGCGCGAGGGGGUGUAUUGGGAAAAAAUCCAAGUCCUACAUCGGCUAAAGAUAAAGCCAAGAUAGAAUAUAUAAGUGGAGGACAACUGUCACCCCAUGAGCUAGCUUUUGGGGUUAAGUUAGGCCCAAGAAAGAGGUUGCCAAGAUGCUAUUUGUAGGAAAAUUUAUAUCUUUACAUCUUGAUUGAGCUGACUGAGCUAUGCUUUCCUUUGGGCUUUCUCAGGGUUACUUCCUCCAGGAACGCAAUUUGAUUUGUUUCGUGGAACAGCUGCUAUGAAACAAGAUGUGGAUGACAUGUAUCCAACAACUCUUUCUCACACGAUAAAGGUAUGCUUUCUAUAUUCAUUUAGGCAUUGUUUCGCAGUUUGAUUAGUUUUAUUCUGCCAAAUCACAUUGAAGGUUGCAUAAUCUGACCAUUUCUGUAUUUUUCUUUCAUAUGAAAUUUGUUAUUCAUCAUUAUUUUCCCUGUCUUAUUAUUUUUGAAGGCUUGCAUAUCUGACCCUUAUGUUUUGUGUCUGCUUGUUUAGUUUGGGACAAAAAGUCAUGCAGAAUGUGCUUGCUUUUCACCAGAUGGGCAGUUUCUUGUAUCAUGCUCAGUUGAUGGGUUUAUUGAGGUAUACAUAAUUGGAGUUUAAAGUUUCAUUUUCAGCAGUUUUCUUCCUGAUUUUUUGGACAUAUUUCUAGGUGUGGGAUUACAUAAGUGGAAAGCUGAAGAAAGAUCUACAGUACCAGGCUGAUGUGAGUGAGUUUUUAUUUGAACGGCUUUACCUGCCAAGAAUAAAUAAAUGUCUUGUAUGUGAUAGUUGAUGAUGAAUUUGGAAAUAGAUAUUUGGCUGAUAUAUUUCCUUGGUAAGGUUUACUUAGCCCCAAGGUUACCAAACACUUUUGUUACUUUGGUACCUUUACAUUUAUAACUGCAUUCAAAGCUGUAGAAAAGAUAUUUCACUCAGAUCUCUGUUGUCAUUUUGGGAACUAUUUCAACUUUGACUGUAAAUAUGCACAGAUUACACCUUUUUUUCAUGUGAUUGUAUUUUCUUUCAUGAUAUGAAGUCUUGUUUUGAUAAUCUGUCUCUUGCUCACUUUGUGUUCAGUAAGUGUAUGAAGUUAUGAACAUAUCUGCUUGAUUUAUGCUGUCUAAGAAUUUUAAUACUAUUGAUUUAAAGGAAAUUUCUUAUAGUUUAUCAAAAGUCUUUGCCUUAGACAUUUCUGAUUCUAUGAACUUGCAGGAAGUGUUCAUGAUGCAUGAUGAUGCUGUGCUUUGUGUAGACUUUAGCAGAGAUUCAGAAAUGCUUGCAUCUGGGUCUCAAGAUGGAAAGAUUAAAGUGAGUAAUACUUGUCUGCAUUUAAGGCUGCAUGAGCUAACCUAAAGAAGAAAUUCUUGUAUCCUUGAUUUUGUACAUUUUAUAUUUUCAGGUGUGCACUGCACAUAUAGCUUUGAUAUUUCUGUGAAAUAGAACUGAGCUACCAAACAAAAUUCAUUUGGUGAAAUUUAGAUUGUAUGACUAUGAAGCAUGGGUUAAUAGUGAAUAGCGUCAAAUUGUGCAACAAUAGUAUAGUGAUGAUGUGGGGAAGAUUUUCCUCUGGUAGCUUUAAUUUGUGGUUGCAUUGUGUUUUUGCUUUGCACUGAUUGCAAUCUAGAUGGUGGUAUUUUAUGGACAAAAUUGUGAAGUGGCUGCAACUUUAGGCAGUGGCGAAAUCACGUAUUUUGUCCACCCUCCACCCUUUUACGGCAUUGGCCACGCAUUUUUGUAGGGAAAUUUUUGUGAUUUUACUCAAUUUUUUGCAACAGUAGGAUUUUAGGAUUAGAAUCCCUUCAUCCAUACAGAUAACCCAGCCACCCCACCCUGUAUUUGUACCUCCUUAUUCUUCCCUCAUCUUUUCUGGCUACCAAGUACCACCCAGCAACCCGAGUGUUUUCUGGCCAUUGGCCAAGCCUGUCCUUUUUUUUGGCAGCCAGAACUUCUGUACUCUGGUCUUUGCUCUGUCACCUCUAUUUUGCAUAGCUUAGUCAGUCCCACCUUCCUGUCUUGCAUGGUUUUUUUUUUCAUGGAUGAUAGUCUGCGCUGUCUUUUUCUUCCCUUAUGCUUGACUGUUGUUAUGGACUUAUAAAUUACGCCUUGGAUUAGUGGUAAUUGUGUCUAGGCUGAUUUUUAUUUUUUAAUGAUGAAUAUGUCUUUAAUUUGGUUUUCUUUCUUUUUUUAUUUUAAAAAUGAGCAUUUAUAUGAAUGUGGUAUAAAUUAUUUAUUGUGCAUGUUGGGCCAUCUUGCAUUCCAUUUCACUCUAUGAUUUGUGUUUAUAACUUCAUAUGGUCCUACUUUGUCUCAUUAUCUUGUGGUUCCUUGAAUUUUUGCUGUCUUCAGUUCUUGUCAAUGUUGUAGUUGCUGACUUGCUGUUUUUGGAAAUGUUUAUGUUUUCACCUCAACUGUUAAUAUGUAAAACUUAAAACUGUAUAUUCACAUUUCAUUUUAGGUCUGGCGUAUUAGGACUGGUCAGUGCUUACGGCGUCUUGAACGUGCUCAUUCUCAAGGUGUCACAAGUGUUUCCUUCUCCCGUGAUGGAAGCCAGUUAUUAAGCACUUCAUUUGACAGCACAGCAAGGUUUUUCAUUUAAUUUUACUUAUUUAAUGUUGUUUUGUUAGAGAUAACCGUUUAUAGUCCAUUAGCUCACCUGACAUAAAAUUUUGGCUUGAAAGGUUCUUUUAACAUGUUAACAAGCAGAGCAUGAAUGACCAAGUGAUUAGAAGUUGGCAUUAUUAUUAGUAGAUAGUAGCAAGCCUAAAAUCCACCAUACAAAUGUCGGGUUGACAUUGCGGUCAAUGGAGGAAAGCAUGGUGGUUACUGGUUGCAAUAUAUUUUUCUUUUCAAAUGCUAAAAUAAAUCUACCAAAUAUAAUUGUCAUAUACUAACUAUCUGGAAAGGCUAAGCUUCUAGCUGAAAGGACAUGAAUGGUCCUCCUUUUCCUCGAUAUAAUCAUCAUUUCAUUGUCUUCAAGUGAGACAUAUCCUUGUUUCUGUAGUUCCAAUUCUUCAUAGUCUCUUCUUCAUUCUUCUUCCAAAUAAUGGCGCUAGAAGCUUGUGAGAGGAUUCUUAUUAGAGAUAUUGGAGGAGAUGCAAAUGAAAUUACUCAUUUCUGUGCUGCUCUUUAUUCUUUAAUUUAGAGCACAACUCGUUCAAAUCUUUAAUGCUUUAUUACUGCAGUAUAUUUUAUAUCUUAACAUUAUGAAAUGCUUUGAUAAAAUGUUAGCAACUGUUAAGUGAAAAUGUUCCUCUUUUUGUAAUACAGAAUUCAUGGCCUCAAAUCUGGAAAGAUGUUGAAAGAGUUCCGUGGCCAUACAUCUUAUGUGAAUGAUGCAAUUUUUACAAAUGAUGGGAGUCGUGUUAUUACUGCCUCAAGUGACUGUACAAUCAAGGUCUGUUACUUGGCAUUGUACUUGAAGUUCCUUGUUCAUCUGGUGUUCAUAUGAGAUGUCUUUUUCCUCCGUAUUGUAGGUCUGGGAUGUAAAGACUACAGACUGCAUACAAACUUUUAAGCCACCUCCUCCUUUAAGGGUGUGUCUUCGAAAAUUUACUAUUAUGGGUUUUUGCUAUUCAAUUUUUUGAUGUCAUCCCAGCAAAUUUGUUCAUUUUCCUAAUUUCUUAUUUCUUUGGAAUGUUAGGGAGGUGAUGCUUCUGUCAAUUCUGUUCACAUUUUCCCCAAGAAUACUGAUCACAUUGUUGUUUGUAACAAAACGUCAUCCAUAUAUAUCAUGACACUUCAAGGACAGGUAUACAUAAACGAGUGGAUGACUGGAAGUUAUUUUGUUUAUACUUAUUUCAUUAGUGUCUUUAUAUUAGUAUUAUGGAUGUUGGCAUUGUCUUUCUUAAUGAAUUGUCUGUUCUGACAAGGAUAAGUAUAUAUGUAAUUCUGCUAUUCAUGCUGGCUGAAUGUGGACAUUUACUUACGUGCUAUUUGGAGAACCUUGGGCUAUACUUGUUCUCGUUUCUUUUCAUCUUUUUUUACAAUGAAGUGUUGUAGCAGCAUGUUAGGAUCUAAUUGCAAGGUAUGAGAAUUGAGUUCAUCAUCAUUUCUCUGACAAUUGAUAGGUUGUGAAGAGCUUCUCAUCUGGUAAAAGAGAAGGCGGAGACUUUGUUGCAGCCUGUGUUUCACCUAAAGGAGAAUGGAUUUACUGUGUUGGUGAAGACAGGUAUCCUAAUUUAUGUAUAAUAUGACACACCUCCUUCGUUUAAUCCAGUAGACAAAGAUUUUAAGUACAUUUUGUAAACUGCUUCAUCACGUACUUUUUUGAGUGAUAUUUUCCCAUAUUCCUUAAGCACAAUAACUUAGCCUAAUUUUGCAGUACCAUAAGUGAGUUUGAUGACAUUUUCCAAAUCAGUAAUUUUUUUUUGUUGAAAUAAUCUCUAAUUUGCCAAUUAUCUUUCCAAAAAUUGUUAUAUUCUUCAUGAAACUGCAAAUUGAAUGCAGGAAUAUGUACUGCUUUAGCUAUCAAUCUGGCAAAUUGGAGCAUCUAAUGAAGGUAUGUGUAAUUGUAUCUUGAGUUAGUCAGAGAUUAGAUCUAUAAAUUUGUUUCAAAUUGGUCUCAAUUUCCAUCAAUAUUGUAAUACUGUUUUUAUAUAUGUAUUAUCGUAUUACAUGUUUGAAUUAGUGUGUCUUUCUUUGGUAUUUUUAUGUCACCGAGAAAUGUUAUUUGUCCAAAAAUUUAUAAAACAAUUUGUAUAACUAACAGAGAGAAAGACAGAAAUAUGAAAUGUAUAAAUGGGAUUUUAUUUUCUGUUGAUCAACCCUCCCUGCAUUGCGUAUGGUUAAGUGGGAUUUUAUUUUCUCGUAUUCUGUUCCGAGGCAAUAUGCUUAUUUUUCUACUGAGGUUGUUAUCUUGAUAUAUGAAUUUAUUUAUGAUAUAUUGAAAUUCUCUCUGGCUAAUGGCAGGUCCACGAGAAGGAAGUUAUAGGUGUCACUCAUCAUCCCCAUAGGAAUCUUGUCGCAACAUUUAGUGAAGACUGCACAAUGAAGUCGUGGAAGCCAUGAAUCUUGUCUGCUUUAAGUCUAUUUCUAUUCUAUCUUGUUAACAUAAUUGAGCAUCUGUGUAGUUUGUGCAAUGUAUAUAUUCAGGAGUUUAAUUUUAAUGUAUUGUUGGUAAAAUUAUUUUAUAUUGUUGACGAAUGAUAUGUUGGUAGAAAACCGAUGCUGAGGUGAGUUAUUGACAGAUUGAAAAUUCAAAAUGUUUAUUUACAAUUUUUACUUCAGUUUUUAUUUUAUUUUUAAAUCUAUCCUUUUUUUCUGAAACGUCAUAAUUAUAUAAACUUUUUCAUGUAUUAUAUGCAAUACUAAACACAAUUUUUUAAUAAUGUAUUUGUAAUCUACUUGAAACUGUAUACUGUAUAUUUUGAUUUACAUGAAGGAAUAAUAUAAGUAUAUAUUUCCAAUACUGUGAAUAGAUCCCUAAAAAGAUUGGAUCUGAACAAUCUAAUGAGAUCUGGAAACAAAUCAAAGAGAAAGAAAAGCAACUAGAAUAUACACUUAUAUUAACACAAUCAACACUAACUCAUAUAUAAGCAUGUUGUCAGGGUUUGGUUUUUGGUCUAGUAAAUGAUUUUUUUUUUCGUUAGAAGAGAUAAAAUUUAUUUUAAUGAAGUUUAUGUAUGGAAAGAAACUAAAUUCCAAGUAUUGGUUAGAGAUAUCUUUAGUAUAUAUAAAAAUUAAAGAUGUAUUUUUCUUUCUUUUUUUUAACGAGCAAGUAGUUAUUAACUUCUUAUCUUUUUAAUGAGUAGACAGUCUUAUGUAAUCCUCAAUGCAACAUUAAACAUAGAUUAUUUCGCUGACAAAAACAAAACCUCUCAGUAAUGACAAUUAAGAUUUAAGAAUUUUUUUUAAUGACAGAGGACAUGAUGAUAGCAGGGUGCAAUAUCGCAUCGGUUUUUAGCAAUAACCUUAAUUUUAGUUUAUAAAAAAAUGGAAGAAAAGAAUAGAAGGAAAGAAAGUGAAAAGUACAAAAAAAAAAUCUCAAAUCUUAUUUGAUUAUGUAGAAAAUGAGAAGAAAAAAGGUAUGUUUGUAAAAUGACAUAAAUAUUGUUUAAAAAAUAAAAUAUAAUAAAAAUAAUAAGAAUAUAAAAUUAUGCUCUUAGAUGUAAUACUAAAAAAAAAAAAACUAGUCAAGAUACAAGAUAAAUUAAAAGGAGAAUAAUAAAUUAAAAAAACAUUUUACUUAUAAUAAAGUAAAGGGUUUUACAAUAUUAGUCGGGUUCCCACAGUGGAUCUCAUCACAAUAUUCGUCGCCCUUAAAGGGUUUUACAAUUGUGUGAUUGUACAGUUCAUAGUUCACAUGUAUUCAUUAAUCCGUCACAUGUUCAAUUUAUCACAUACUCACAGUUUGAAUUAUUUUCAUAACCUCAACAUAACAAUUUAUAUAAAAGAUUUUAUCACAACAUGGGGUGUAAAACCCCUGAAAUAGUUUCUCACAAUUAUAUAAAAAUCAAUUAAUCAAAAUCAUGGGUCAAAACACAAAAACAUCAGGAGCACUCAAGUUUAUCAAUCAAUUUUCAUCAGAACAUCAAUUGGUACAUAGAACACAAUAAUAUUGUAUUUAUAAUCAUAAAGGGAAAAUUAUAAUUCAAUAAGCAUCCCAAAAUAAACUCAAAUUUAGUUAUCUAAGGAUCCCUACACAUGUUCAAACCCCCAAUUGCGAUAAACUCAUCUCUUACCUCUAAGUGGACUGACUCACGUGUCUUCCAACAGCGAUAGCGACAUCUCUAGCAGUUUUUUGAGAUUCCUCCAGUUUUUCCUCCGACUGCUCCGAUAGAGUUCCCAAACGUCAGAGAGACGGAGAAGGGAUUGAAACCUCCAUAUAUACUGUCUUCGUGCGAUUCCUUUUUCUCUCUCUAUGAAUAUUAUCUUGCAAAUUCCAACGGUGAAGGUGUGCGGAAUUGAAUCGCGAACCAAGUAUCAAAAUUUCAUGAAAAUCCAACGGUUAACGAAAUCGGGAUUGAAGUUUUACUGGGAUGGUUUUGAGUUUCUGCGGGAAAAGAAAAAGCUAUGAUGCGAAGUGUAUUUCUCCCAGCUUUGACAUGAUUUCAUAAUUCCCAACCGUGAGAAUGCUCAUAAUUGAGUUGCAAACCUGGUGUUUAAAUUUCACGACGAUCCAACGAUGAAUGAGUUCAAGAUCGUCAUUUUUCUGAGACAAGUUUGGUAGUCUGCGGGAAAAGAGAGGGUUUUGGGAGGAGAAGAAGAAAAAACGAAAUUAAGAGUAAGAGGAGGCAUCGAUAUUGUCUGACCUAACACGUUCUAGAAUACUUACCACUUAUUAUUUAGUUUAUUUUUCUUUAUUUAUUAUUUUAUAAAAAUAAAUUCUAUUUUAUUCUCUAUCAAAAGAAUAAAUAAAAUAUCAUUUUUAUUUUCUCUCAAACCAUUAUUUUAAUUAAUAAAGUUAUAUCUCUUUAUUUAUUUAAUUAUAAGAAAACUCAUCAUUUUUCUAAAAUUCUAUUUAUUUAUAAUUAAUAAUCCUUUUUAAAUUAGCUUUAAAAAAAAAAAGAGAUGUUACCAUCUAAAUCAUGGAACUACUGUUGCAGUGAAAGUUCUUGACACUCUACGAAUUGGCUCUUUAAAGAGUUUCUUUGCAGAAUGUGAGGCUAUGAAGAACUCAAGGCAUCGAAAUUUGGUUAAGCUGAUCACAUCAUGCUGUAGAAUUCACUUUAAAAAUAAUGAUAGCUUGGAAGAUUGGACCAAGGGGAGGAGAAAGCAUGCAAAGGGAAGUGGGUUGAACCUUAUGGAGAGACUGACCAUAGCUACAGAUGUUGCUAGUGCAUUGAACUACCAGCACAAUGAUAGUGAAAUUCCAGUUGUGCACUGUGAUUUGAAGCUUGGCAACAUUCUAUUGGAUGAAGACAUGACAGCAAAGGUUGGAGACUUUGGGUUGGCUAGGUUGCUUAUUCAAAGAUCAACUAAUCAAGUUUCCAUAAACUCCACUCAUGUCCUUAGGGGUUCAAUUGGUUACAUACCUCCAGGUUAGAAUCCUCAUAACUUCCUUCCUCUUUAAGUAAACAAUAGUAUAAUAAAUGAAUGCAUAUGCCAAUUUGUUUCUCUAUUCUUUCUUUAUGAACCUUUUGAUUAAUUUUAUUACAAAUUGUGAAGCAUGCUAAGUAAUUAGUAUUGUUAGUUGUCUAAUGCAGAGUAUGGAUGGGGAGAGAAACCAUCUGCAGCUGGUGAUGUAUAUAGUUUUGGAACAGUGUUAUUAGAACUCUUCUCAAGAUGGGUGCAAUCAGCAUUGAAAAAACAAGACAGUGCAAGUCAUUGACCCUCAGUUACUAUCCCUCAUUUUUCAUGAUGACGCUUCAGAGAGACCAAAUGUACAACUCAAUUGUGUGGAUGCAACUGUAGGAGUUGGCAUAUCAUGCACUGCAGAAAACCCAGAAGAACGCAUUGGUAUCAGAGAAGCUGUUAGUCAACUAAAAGCUGCUAGAGACUCUUUUGAAUCAGUCUGAUGAUGUGAGUCUUACACCUACUAGUAAUAGAGAUACCAAGCCUUGCGUCCAUGUUUCAGCAAAGUGAACUGUGCCGAGAUAGGAGAGAGUCAGAUAAAUGGUUGGCACCGUAUGGUCCUUUACACUUUGCAGCCAUGUUUGACAAAUACUAGUAGUGCACAAGUUGAAACGUUCGGGUUGAAAUAAGCGCAAAGAAUAAUAUAUAAUAUAAUAACACUUUUGUUGACCAUGUAAUGAUCAAAUACUUUACUAUUUUAGGCCAAUGAAUCGCUCUAGUCAUGUAUGGUACUGCCGCUAACCUUGUCAAUUGUAAAACUUAUGUAAAGAAGAAUGGUGGUUGAUGGCAUAUAAUUUGUGCAAAAUGUAACAUCUUUUCCUUUUUGUAUUGUGAUAAUUAUUAGCAUUUUUUAUCCUUGCAAUUAUCAAUGGCUUCUUCACAAUAAAACAAAAAUUUCUUUUAGUUAAUUUUGAAAAAAUCUUCCAACUUAAAUAAAAUUUAAGUCUUGACUUAUUGAAUAUUUUAUUUGUCUUGAAAUUUAGUAUUAUGUUUUAGAAAAUCCAAUUUUUUUAUAUAGGAAAUUAAGAGCAAACAGUCCUCUUAGAAAGGUAUAAUUAGAAAACUUGUAAUUUCAGCUGUAGAGAUUUUUAUUUUUUUAUGACUUUGGCCUUUUGAAAUAGAUUUCCAAAAUUUAUACCAAUUACUGUUCAAAGUCUCUGGGUUAAUUACUAUAUUUACAUUACAUCUAUUUAGGCUACCAAAGGCCAAAAGUGUCUUAACCUAGUCUUACGUGUAAGUUCUUAUAAACCUUAAGUUACUUGGUUUGAUUCCUUUCGAUCAAAAAAAUUUAGGCUCCUUUUCUUUCUCUCUUGAAGCCAACAUAUGAGUUUGAUGAAGCACUGAAACCGUUACUCUUUUCCAUUUUCUGCGAAUCUUUUGAACCUAUUUCAGUUUUCACUCUUUAUUUGUUAAUUUCCUUUUAUUUUCCCGCUAGCCCAAUGCACGUUUUCUAUAAUUAAUUUAAUUUAGUUUCAUAAUUUUUUUUUCUAUUCUCAGUGACGCCAUAUUGCUUGGCCGAGACAGAAGAUUGGGAUUGUUUAAAAUUUCGUUGCUGAUAAUCAGAACUGCAUGUACAUGUAGUUCCAAAAAAUGUCAGUGUUGUGGCUCGAGAGGAAAUUUCAUUUGAGGGAUGGUAGCUAUGGUAGAUGUGCUUCAGGGCUGGGCGCAACAACUCUAGAUAUAUUCUUUUUUUUCUUCCAAGCAGUCAUGCAUGCACGUUGGAUUAAGGAUUGGUCUAUCACAUAACUUAAUCAAGAUUACAAGAGAAAAAUAUAUAUAACUAAUAUUGUUGUUUUUAGAAAGAUACGAAUGAUUAAAAGAUAAAGAAACUCAGGAUAUUACUGCAGAAGAAAGGCUGUUUUAUUGAUCUGAAAAGCAGAGUGCAUUUUACAAAGAGAUGCUAAAAUAUAUAGAUAAAACUCCUAUGGGUUGUUGCCUAAAAAAUAGAAGAUAAAUUUAAAACCAGCAUAACAGCAUAACAGCCUAACAACAUAUCUGAACAGCAUAACAACCUAACAACAUAUCUGCAGCAUAACAGCAUAUCCUAAAAAAAACUAGCAACAAUUUAAAAAAUUUGUUUCAAGAGUCAAACAGUUAACAGAUAUUAAUAUGAAAAUAACGUAGCAUUGAUAAUUAGAAUAUUUGUAUUCAUUAGUGUUUCUUGGACUCAGAUGAAUAAAAUAAUAACCAAAAACAAUGAUAGUAAUUAAUAAAAAAAAAGUAACAGCAAACUAAUAUUGCAUUUUUUUAAACUAAAGUCAGAUCUCUUAAUCAAGGUCCUAAGUUAGAGUGGUGAAAAAAAAUUAGUCAACUUUUUUGACCGAUAUUAUUUAUCGACAAAAUUUAUAAUAUAAUAUAAUAAAAAAGAACAACAAUACUAAUAUUAUUAAUUAUUACGAAAAUAUUAAUAAUAAUAAAAAUUUAGACUUCCUUGCUAAAAGAAUUAGUGUCUACUUUCUUGUCAAUAGAGAGAUAUCCUGGUGUAAAUAAAUAAUGUUAUUGUAAAUCAAAAUAAACUACUUAACUAACAAAACUUAACUAAAAAUGCUUGAAUUAACUGAUAAAAAAAUUGCUUGAAUCAAUAUAUAAGCAGUGUCAAUAAUCAUUUUUUUCGCACAAAGUGUAAGCCAUAAAUGAUCCACCAUUCUUCUUUAUAGUCAUAAGUAAGUUUUACAAGAGACAGAGUUACACAUAAACAUAAACACAAUUGUUAUUUAUUAAUACCCUAUUUAAAGGUUGGUGGUCGAAAUGCCUCUAUUUCCACCAUACAUACAUGACUAGAGUCUAGAGUUCACUUUAUUGAAACAUGGAAGUAACGCUCGGUAUCUCUUCUAGGACUCUCAUCAGACAGUUUCAAAAGAGAGUCUCUAGCAGCUUUUAGUUGGCGAACAGCAUCUCUAAUGCCAAUGCGUUCAUCUGGGUUGUCUGCAGUGCAAGAUAUGCCAACUCCUACAGUUGCAUCCAAAUAAUUGAGUUGCAGAUUUGGUCCCUCAGAAGGGUCAUCAUGGAAAGUGAGGGACAGCAACUGAGGGUCAAUGACUUGCACUGUCUUGUUUUUCAUUGCUGAUUGCACCCAUCUUCUUAUACUUAGGCCUCCUGUGAAACACUCAUCUGUUGGGCUUUUACCAGAGAAGAGCUCUAGUAACACAAUACCAAAACUGUAUACAUCUCCAGCUGCAGAUGGUUUCUCUCCCCAUCCAUACUCUGCAUUGGACAAGUAACAAUACUAAUUAUUUAUCAUGUUUCACAAUUUGUAAUAGAAUUAAUUAAAAGGUUAAUAAAGAAAAAGUUGUAAGGAUUCUAACCUGGAGGUAUGUAACCAAUUGAGCCCCUAAGGACAUGAGUGGAGCUUAUGGAAACUUGAUUUGUUGAGUUUUGAAUCAGCGACCUAGCCAAUCCAAAGUCUCCAACCUUUGCUGUCAUGUCUUCAUCCAAUAGAAUGUUGCUAGGCUUCAAAUCACAAUGCACAACUGGGAUUUCACUAUCAUUGUGCAGGUAAUCCAAUGCACAAGCAACAUCUAUAGCUAUGUUCAGUCUCUCCAUAAGGUUCAACCCAUUUCCGUUUGCGUGAUUUCUCCUCCCCUUGAUCCAAUCUUCCAAGCUACCAUUGCACAGGUACUCAUACACCAGAGCCAGAAAAUCAUUGUUUUUGAAGUCAACACUAGAGCAUGAUGUGAUCAGCUUAACCAAAUUUCGAUGCCUUGAGUUCUUCAUAGCCUCACAUUCUGCAAAGAAACUCUUCAAAGAGCCAGUUCUUAGGGUGUCAAGAACUUUCACUGCAACAGUAGCUCCAUGACUUAGAUGGCCUUUAUAAACUGAGCCAAAGCUUCCAACUCCUAAUAGGUUUUCCUGGCUGAACUCCUCAGUUGCCAGACGAAGUUCAUCAUAAGAGACCAUUGGUACAUGAGGUUUCAGCUGUUCAGAUGUUGCUGCAGUUGCUGUUACCUUCACCCUUUUGUUCUUUAUAUACAGUAGCAAGCCAAUUGUGAGACAUAGUAUUAAUGUUAACACGAUGGCUAUGAUGAUGUAAAGUCUUGCAUUUCUUCCAUGGCCAUGAGGCAUGCAUGGGAAAUACAAGCAGAGUUUUCUAUUGCCUUCUAAAUGAAUAGCAGAGAGAUUUUGGAAAACUCCACCACUAGGAAUUACUCCUUCUAAAUCAUUGUACGAGAGGUUUAAGAACUUAAGGACAUGUAGAUUUUGUAGUUCAAUAGGUAUGGCUCCAAAGAGUUGGUUGGAGGACAAGUCCAAAGUUUCCAAGCCUUUCACAUCUCCAAGAGCCUUUGGUAUGGGACCUGAAAGCUGAUUCCGGGCCAAAAACAGAUUUUCUAAGCUGAGACAAUUGCUGAAUGAGCUGGGGAUGCCACCAAACAAUUGGUUACUAGAAAAGUCAAUGGAGGCAACAGUAAUCAAUCUCCCUAUUUGUGGUAUUGGUCCACUCAAAAAGUUCAUAGACAGGUUCAAAACAUUGCUCAAAGUUGGGAGAUUGAGUAUUUCCAUAGGUAUGCUUCCAUCGAGUUUGUUGCUGGAUAAGUCCAUGUAAAGCAGGUUUUGCAAAUUCCCAAAACUGGUAGGUAUUCUCCCCACAAGUUUGUUUUUUGACAAAUCAAUCUGGUUUAACUUCAGGAGAUUACCAAGGGAGUUUGGAAUUCCUCCUGAUAUCUCAUUUCCAGCCAGAGAUAGCUCUUGUAGUCCCUCUAACUGGCCUAACUCAUUUGGGAUAUCUCCAAAGAUUGAAUUGUAGCUUAAGUUUAACAACUUCAAGCCACUUAGACGACCAAUGGAGGAGGGUAUGCUUCCAUUGAAACGAUUCUGUCCCAUGUAUAAUUUUGUGAGAUCCUUGGAGAGAUUGCCAAUGCUUUCAGGAAUUACACCUUCCAGCAUGUUGCCAUCAAUUGCCAGAAAGUUCAGGUGAGUGCUGUUUGUCAAAGAAGUGAUGAAGUCUAGACCUCUCACACCUGAACUCACUAUCCUGUUAUAGCCAAUAUUAUACAUGCGAAGAAAUGGGAGAUUUCCCAAACCAGGUGGCACUGUUCCUUCUAAAAGGUUGGAAGCCAUGCGAAUCACCCGAAUGUUGGUGAGGUUGUGCAAUGAGCCUGGAAUUCCACCUGUGAAUUUAUUGAAGCAGAAAUUGAACACUAGGAGUUUUGGAAGUUUUUGACCAACAUCCUGAGGAAUCUCACCCCACAAAGAGUUUGCAGCUAAGGCCAAGUUGACAAGGGAAGAUAAGUUGUAUAUAACAGGUGGAACAGUCCCAGUGAGAUUGUUGAGAGUGAGAUCAAGCUCAAUCAAGUUGUGGAGCCUACCCAAGUCACUGGGAAUCCAGCCAGUGAGAAAGUUGGUGCCAAAACUUAUAUUUUUUAGAGAAGAAAUGUUCCCUAUGGAUGCUGGUAUUGCACCAUAGAGGCUAUUCCUUCCCAGUUUCAAAGCCUGAAGCUUUUGCAAGCUGCUGAUGUCCUCAGGAAUCUUGCUGGCAAUCUUGUUUGAGGAUAAAUCAAGAAUCUGGAGCUGUUUCAGGUGGGUGGUGUUUGAAGGAAGCUUUCCUUCUAACAUGUUAGUGCUCAUAUUUAGAAGUCUCAGAUUGAAUAGGUUGCCAAUUUGGUCAGGAAUCACUCCUGUGAGUUGGUUAUUCUGCAAUUGGAGGGACUGAAGAGAGGAGAGGUUACCAAUAUAAGGGCUUAAGUGACCUGAGAGUCCCAAGCCUGAAAGAUCAAGGCCUGUCACUCUUUGGCCAUGCUUGUCACAGAGGACACCAGUCCAGUUGCAGGGGGAUGAAUUAUGGUUCCAAGAAGAUAAAGGGUUAAGAGUGUCAUUACUCAGUUCAGAUUUGAAUGAGAUCAAGGCUUCUCUGUCUGAGCUGAUGCUUAAAGUGGCUGAUGAUACACCAAUCAAAAGGUUGUGUAGCUCAAGAAAGAGGAAAAGGAGUAAUAAGGCAAAAUGAACAGGUAAUUCAGAAAACAAAGCCAUACUUUGCUGUUUGCUUCUUAGGCUUGUUUAUGAUAUUAAUUUCUUACUAAGAUGUGUAUUUAUAGUAGUCCGCCUGCAGCUGCCCAUGCAAUGCAUUGCUUAGCUUUUCUCUUUACUAGAUAUUUACCCGCUUAAAUAUUUGACAAUAGUGUAUAUAGUUAUGACUCAUGAGUAAUGAUCACUAAUGAUACAAGUAGUGAUAUUUUCACAUAUCAAUAUUUCAAACAUUUGGUUAACAAUUUUUAUUUUUUUUAUCGCAUCAUUUCGCCUAUUAUAUUUAUAUUUUAUAUUUUUCUCUCUCACUAGAUGUUUACAAAUAUUUUGAUGUCAAAUUAUAUUUUUUCUAUGAUAUAUGGGUACUCAUUUAUCGGUUAGUGAAAAAAAUCAUGGAUACUCAUAUUUGAUACCUAUUUGACAUUUUCUUUUCCUCUAUUUCUCUCUUAUUAUAUCAAAUUAUAUUAUUUGUCAUAAUUUAUACCUACACUUUUUUCUAUUAUUUUUUUUUAUCUCUCUAGGUAAGAACACAAGAUGUCCAUAUAUCAUUAUCCAAUAUAAUACUUAUACUCUAAAGUAGUUUUAUACUAUUAUCAAAUUAUAUGAUAUAAGUUAAUGACUCUUUUAAUAACUAUUUUAUAAGUUAUACUUAUACUAAUUUAUGAUUAGUUAAUUAUAUAAAAUUUUACUUUAACCAUAGUCAUUAAAUUCAAAAUAUUUUUCUUUUAAUAUUAUAAUUGUUAUGCUAAAGUAAUAUGUAAUUUAAAAUUAUGUUUUGAUAAUAAUUUAAAUUUAAAAUAGUGUCCUUAAUAUAUUUUUUUCUUUAUCCUAACAUUUUAUUGUUGUGGAUAUAUGGUGCUUUAAUUUGAUCACAUGUAGACAAUGAAGCAGUCUAAUUCCAUUAUAUAAAUAGGUUAUCCAGGAAGAAUACGUCACUAACGUUCAUUGAAAAGAGUAAUUGAAAUACCAUAAUGAAAGAAAUGCAAUAAUCAUACAUUAAGAAGAAAGAUAAAUAAUUGAUCGAAGGGAGUGUGGCUAAUUGCUUGAGAGGAAGGGAAAUACUUAACCAAGUUAUGACAGAAAUGAUAAACCAUUGAUGUGCUACGACAUGUUAUUAUGUUAAUCCAGUAGUUUAAAUGUCAACACCACAAUUCAUAUUUCAACUUUUAUAUAUAAUAAAUAAACAAACAAGUAUAUUUAUUUAAGAGUAAAUCGUAUAUAUACUAAUCGAUGGUGUAAAAGAUUUCUAUAUUAUACAAAUUGUCGACAUAUAUGAUGAUUUUGUUGAAUUUAACGAUAACUAGAUGUAUGCUUGUACUAUUGCACAAUUUUUACAAAAAUAAAAAAGAGAGGGAAAAAAAGAGAGUGAAAUGACAAUUAAAAAAAUUCUGAAAAUUUGUUUAACCAACACUUGGACAUAAGUGGAUAAUUUUUAUAAUACUAUUGAUCAUCAUAAAAGUCAUAUUUAUUAUUUUUUUUAUUGGUUGUGUGUGUCAUUUUUUUUACAUUGGCAUGCAUAGAAAUUAAACUUUAUUUUGAUUAUAAAUUCUUUUAAAAAAUAUAUAUUUGCACAAAAAUUUAUAUAUUUUUAUAAUAAAAAAAUUGAAGUACGAAGUAAAAUAAUUAAUAUAAUUGAAAAAGAUAAAAAUAAUAUUAUAAAAAAGUAUAUGAAUAGUAUAGUUCAAUCAUUUACGUGUAAAGCCCUGUUAUAUAUAAUAUAUUUUUUAUUUUAACCUUUGUUUUAUUUAUUAUGGGGCAUAUUUCUUACAAUUUUCUCUCUUAUCUUCUUGUGUGCCUUUUCUAGUAUAAAAAUCGAACUGAAUUGGCCGAUCAGACCCAAAAAACUGGUGAAUUGAUCUUACGACCGGUUCAAAUAACCAAUAAAAUCAACUUGAAGAAAAAUCGGUUAAAGAACCGAAAAAUUGAUAUACAAUCGGAGAAAACCAGUCAAUAAUCAGCAAGAAAAAAUGCUUCAUAGUGGUCAAGAAAAAUUGAAUUUUAAUUCUUAAUUAAGGCAGAGAAGAUAUUAUCUUUUACUUUUUAAUAAAAAAAUAUUAUCUUUUGUUUUUUAUAUAUAAAAUCCGGAGGUAGUAUCUUUCUCCAGUAGAAAAAGUCUUAUGUAAUAGUUAAUGGAACAGGUUUUUUGACAGCAUAGUCAAUGCAACAUUAAACACAUAUAAAAACAUAUUUUAAUAACAGGUGUACUUUUAACAUAUGUCACAUAAAUUUGCAUAUAUUUAAUGUUAAUAUAAAGUAUCUAGUAAGCUACUAAGAUCCAGUGGUUUAUAAUAAAAAAAAUGUUAAAUAUAAAGUGUCUAGUAAUUAAGCUACUAAGAUCCAAUGGUUUAUAUAUAAUGAAGAGAAACAUUACCUCAAAUUUUCUUUUCAACGCUGUUUUUGGAAUUCACUGAAUUUUUUUAAAAUAAUCAAUUUUAAUGAAUCUUAUAUCUAAAUCAUGAAAGAAAAUCAUUAAAUGAUAAAUAUAACCCAUUAAAUUUGAUAAUUUUUAAUAAAUUUAAAUCAAUUUUCAGUCAAUGUUAUUAAUAUUUAUUCUAAUAAAAUGCGUUGUCCUUUUUAGCCGUAACACACCAUACUUAAUACAAUUAGUUCUCUUAAUUCUAACAAUUAAAAAUGAGAACGACUGAACGGUAAACUACUAAGAUUUUUUAAAGAUCACUUAAAGAAGAUCUAAUGUGAAACUUGUCUAACCUUUACCGCACGAAAUUUUUUUGAGUAAAAUCAUAAAUAACUACGUGUCAGUAUAUUAUUAUUAUUUUCAAUACGACAUUAAAUACUUAACUUAUUUAUAUAUUAUAUUUUGUUCUGUAACAAAAAAAAAAUGGGUGUAACCAGAUUAUAUUUUGUUCUUAAUUUUUUUUAAUCUUUGAUUACUGUUAAUAUUAAAGUUUUCCUUUUAAGAAAUAUUCAUAUUAUAUUUUGUGCAUCCUUGAAAAUCUGAGGGUUUUAGGACUGCUAUUGAAAAUCUCUCUUUCUCUCUCCCUAUCUCUUCUUUAUUAGUGUGCUCAAAUUCAUUCAAUCAUUGGUCCCAAAAAAAUGAUACCAAAAUCCUUAUACUUAUUUCGUACCAUAGCAAUUCUCAAUUUAUCCUUAAAAAAAACUCUCAAAUUACAAUAAUUAUUUUCCAAAUCAUUAACCAUCAAGCUUCCAAAUGCACUCAAAUUUUCACUGUCUUUUUUUUAACUACAUGAUUGGUCCUACAUCGCGUCUAUAUUUUUCUUCUUGGAGCUCUAAUUAUGCAUAUUCUAGGGUCAAUGCACAUUUUUUUACAAAAGAAAAACAGAAGCGAAUGUUAUAGCUAUAAAAACGUUAUCAAUAUAUUUCUAUGAUCAAACUGAUACAUAUGAGUAAAUUUGGAGGCUAGUAGAACACUUAACCUACUACAUUUGUGUUUGACAUUGUUAGUUGAUUGAAGAAGGUGACAAUUGGAUUAACUUGUGAAUCAUGAUUUUCAAUUUUAGAAAUUGUUUUUAAAUUUUGAUAAUUGUAGGAAUUAAAUUAACGUACGAAAUCCUACAAUUUCAUGCUAUAUUAAAACGAUAUUUUUUUAUGACUAGGCUAUCAUGUGUCAGGCACCAUGGGUGAUAGUAGGACACUUGAUGUGUCACAUUAGCAUGUCUAAUGUUAGUUGAUUAAAAGUGACUAUUAGACAUUUAGAUUCAUCAACAAUCUACAAUAUAUAUAUUUCAGAAAUUAUUUUGAAAAUUUAAUAAUUUCACAGACUAAAUUACCUUAAACUUUGCAACUAAAAUGGUAAUUUUGAUAAAUUAAUGGUUUUUGCUUAAUGUAUAGUUCUUCCGACUUAAUGAGGAUAUAGUCGAGCAGAUUUACUCAAGUAUAAUUUUUUCUAACACGUUGAAGUAAGUCCCACGCUAACGCACCUCACAAAGUGUAUUGAGGGUGGGAGAUAAUUCCGAUUGAUAUCUAAAUGUUUUGUUAUGCGUUUGUUUUAUACUAAAUGUUGGGUUACGCAUUGAUUCACUACUUGUCUACUUUUAGUUUUUAUUUUUAUAGAUUAAUUUCAAAAGAAUACUAAUAUUUUCAAAAUGCAUUUAUAUUUAAGAUGAUGUUAAAACAAGUUUAAAAGAAAAAAUUACUUUGAAUAAUAGUAAGUAUAAUUAUCUUGAAAAUAUAAAAAAAAUAUCAAAAAAAAAUCUCAUUUAAAAUUAGUUCUAUUUUUUUUUUGUUAUCAUAUUAUUGACUCAAAUCAAAAACAUGCUUAAGAGACCAAGUGCAUUACUCGAACCAAUCAUUUAUUUGGUUAAAAAUUAAUUAUAUUAUUUAUGAAAGUUAAAUUUUUAAAUCAUUUAAAAUAAUUAUACUCAAAUUAAAAAUGAAGUUUUGAGAACUCAAAGGUAAUCUGAACAGUCCAAUUUAUUGGCCGAAUAGUUGACAAACACCAAACAAUCAAGUUAUUGGAUUGUAAAAAUAGCCAUUGAAAAUUAAGGUAAGGUCAAUGCUCCUAGUUAAUAGCGUCAUGUAAAACGCAAGUUGUUGACAGAAAUAUAAAGAAACCAAAAGUCUGGGUUAAGGAUUGUGUUGCAUUAAUACAAUGCCAGGUCAAGGACUCAAGGUGAUAGUGAUAGUGCUACGAAAGAAUUUGGAUUCUCUGCCGAGCUAGCCAUUUCUCUCUCUCUAUGUUGGGAAUUGCUUGUGACGGUUUGGAAGUGUAUUUGGGGUGGUAUGGGUCAUACUAAUAGGGAUGAAACUUGUCUUAAAGACAUUAUUAAAAGAAUAUUCAAAUAAAUAAAUAGUGUCGAUAUAUAUAAUACUAAAAUUUUUAAUUUAUAUUUAAUGUAUAUGUAAAUUUACAUAAUAAAUUUUGUGAUGAUUAUUUUUUAUAUAAUAAUUAAUUUUUUACAUAUAUAAAUUAUAAAUAAAAAUGACAUGUUUAAUAAGUAUUUACAUAUGUAAAAAAAUAUCAAAUUUAUUUAAUUAUCAAUUGUUAUAAAAAAAAAUAUCUAAAUACAUCAUUCAAUUAAAUAUUAUAUUUAUUUAAUUUUUAAUCAUUAUAAUAAACAUUUAAAUACAUCAUUCAAUUAAAUAUCAAAUUUGUUUAAUUAUAAAAUUUUGUAAAUAAAUUAAAUGAAUAAAUAAAUUUUAAAAAAAUUAAAACAUAUGGAUUAAUAAAUAAAUUUUAAAUCUUAAAUGUUGGUUUCAAUAUUUUUUAUAACUACCAAAUUUAACAUAUUUCUAAAUUUGAUUUCAAUCAUUAUCUUAAAUUAACAAUCUUAUCAUAUUUUAAAUUUUAGUUUCAAUAUUUUUUAUAACUACUAAAUCAAAUAUAUUUUUAAAUUUGAUUUCAAUCAUUAUCUUAAAUUAACAAUCUUAUCAUAUUUUAAAUUUUAAUUUUUGGUUUCAAUAUUUUUUAUAACUACUAAAUCAAAUAUAUUUUUAAAUUUGAUUUCAAUCAUUAUUUUAAACUAAAAAUCUUAUUGUAUUUUAAAUUUUAGAUUUUGGUUUCAUAAUUUUUAUAACUAACAGAUUUAUUGUAUAACUAAAAUUAUGUUUCAAUAUUUUUAUAACAAAUUUUAAUUAUUAAAAAUUUUCAUUUAAAUAUUUUUUUAACAAACAAAUUUAAAUUAUUUUUAAUUAUGAUUUCAAUAUUUUUCAUAAGUAACAAAUUCAAUAUCUUUUAAAUAUUUUUUUAUUUUCUUCUAAAAGUUAGACAAAUAUAAUAUAACAAUAUUGAAAAUUAAUUGUUUCACCAAUUUAAUCUUAAUUUUAGCAAUCUAAUUUAAUCUUAGUAAUAAAUAAUAUAUUUUUUAUAAAUAAAAUCAAUACUUAACAUAUAAAUCAGAAAAAAUUAUAAAAUUUCAUUAACAUUACAGAAUAACAUUACACUAUGAAACAAUUUAAAUAAUAAUUGAUAAAUAAAAAAUUUCCAAAAAAAAAUAAAUUUAGAAGAAGAAAAAUUGAAAAAAAAAAUAUUAAAAAAAAAGGAAACCAUACGGAUCAGCCAUCCUUAUGGGUCAAACGGAUUGACACAUAUGGAUUGUCGAUUCGUGACACAUACGGAUUGUCGAUCCGUAUGAACCAUACGGAUUGAUGAUCCAUAUGAGGUUUUUCCAGAAAAAUGUCAUUUUUUUUUUAAAGGAAGAAGAAGAAUCACAGUGGUGUGGGAAUUGGAGGAAGAAGAAGAAUCGCAAGGAACAACCACGAACACGACGAUGAUAGGAAGAAGAAACAUCGUAGGAAGAGGAAGACGAACAAGAAGCGCUAGAGGAAGAGGAAGACGAACUGUCAUAGGAAGAGGAAGACGAACAAGAAGGAUAUGUGUGCCGUACGGACGAAAUUAUAGCUUUAUUUAUAUUAUUAGGGUGAAGGACAUUUUUGUCAUUUCAUCCUACGUGUUGGGUGCCCCAACAAAAAUGUUGGGUGCGCCAAGUAACACUCCUCUAUAUUUCUUUUACCUUUCAAUCAUCAAACUUCACUCUUUUAUAUUCUCUCUCUUUUUUUCCUUUGUACUUUAUUGGCUGGUGAGGUAGCACUACGGUAGAGAAUCCAAAUUUGCUAUGAUUAAUGUAAAAUAUAUUUUUUAAAUAUUUAUAUAUGAGAAUUAGUAACACAUUGACACUUCUUUUCCGGUUAAAGCAUGUUAGGAAUCUACACCAAAAUUUGUUUCACAAAAAAAAUCAAUCCUUCCACUACUUUAUUAAAUAUAGUUAAGGGUAUUCUAAUAACUCAAAUUUCUUUGUUUAAAAUAUUAUUUCUCUCUCUUAGUCGCAUUUGAAGUCAUCUCAACAAACUCAAGUAUGCAAAUGAGAAUUGUUGAUGAAAGAGUGUGGACAGAUGACAAAUUUCAAGUAAGAAGAUGAAUGCAAAAUUUUUAACUUUGGGUUAGAUCGAGAGAGGAGAUCAAAUGAGUGGAAAAAAGAGAAAAAUAAUAUUUUUAACACACAAAUUUGAAUUACUAUAAUACUCUUAAACUACAUUUAUUAAAGUAGUGGAAGUUAUUGGAUUUUUUCGUCAAACAAAUUUAUAUAUUACUAUAUUACUCUUAUUCAUUCUCAUUUGAAUUCUUUUCUUAUAAAGUGUGGAUUUCACUAACGUAACAUACAUAUGAUACUUUUAAUAUCAAGAACAAGUUAUAAGUAUUUAAUUGUUCCUAAAUAUCAAUAACUAAUUUCAAAUUUAUAUCUUAUCCUCAAAAUUUAAAUACACUUUUAACAUGCAUUUGAUAUUAUAGUAUCUCUUAUGAUUUUAAUAUCAAUUGAAUAAUUUAACUAAAUAUUUUAUCUUUUUUCAAUCUAUUAUUUUUAAUAUAUUUAAUUCUAACUUGAAUUUCAAUAUUUUUUUUUAAAAUAAUUUAUUUAUGAUUAAAAAUAAUAAUGUAUCAUAAUAUAAAUUAAAUUAUUUUUCAUAAAGUUAAAAUAUAAUUUAUAAGUAAAAAAUAUUUAUUUAUUACAGAUUUUAAUUAUAAUAUAAUUUAUAUAUUUAAAUUUAUUUAUUUAUUUAUCAUCAAUUUUAAUUAUAUAAAAAAAAUAUUUAUAAUAUGUGAUGUGCUGCCUAAAAUGCCAGUUUAGUUAUAAUUUUCCUUAUAUCCUCUCCGUCCCAAUAACGUCAUGAAAAAGGCCUUGUUGACGAAAACAUAAAAGCCGAAAGUCAGGGUCAAGAUUGUGUUGCAUUAUAUAAUGGGAGGUGCUGUACCAAAAGAUAUAUAUAUAUAUAUAUAAUGGGAGGUGAUAAUGUUAUGAAGAGGUCAAUGAAAAAUAUAAUUUUGGAAUAUUUAUAUUAAAUAACAAAUUUAGUUAUAGUUUCCCUAACAUCCUGAUUUCUUCUUUUGGGUAAAUGUCUAGAAACACCCAGGAAAAAAAUAGAAAAAUAAAAAAUUGUCAUUUUAAAUUAAUUUAUAUAUAUAUAUAUAUAUAUAUAUAUAUAUAUAUGAAUUUAAAAUUAAUUUUUGAAGAAGUUAAUAUGAGAAAUUAAAGCUUCUACAAAAAAAAAAUUAUGGAUAAACUAAUUUUAAUUUAGGAAUAAUUUUUUUCCUUGUUUUUUCACCUAGAAAUUCUUAUAGAUAAACUUAUCCAAAUAACCUCUUAGUAAUGUCAAAAAUUUAUAUCGCUGACAAAAACAAAACCUCUCAGUAAUGACAAUUAAGAUUUAAGAAUUUUUUUUAAUGACAGAGGACAUGAUGACAGCAGGGUGCAAUAUCGCAUCGGUUUUUAGCAAUAACCUUAAUUUUAGUUUAUAAAAAAAUGGAAGAAAAGAAUAGAAGGAAAGAAAGUGAAAAGUAAAAAAAAAAAAAAUCUCAAAUCUUAUUUGAUUAUGUAGAAAAUGAGAAGAAAAAAGGUAUGUUUGUAAAAUGACAUAAAUAUUAUUUAAAAAAUAAAAUAUAAUAAAAAUAAUAAGAAUAUAAAAUUAUGCUCUUAGAUGAAAUACUAAAAAAAAAACUAGUCAAGAUACAAGAUAAAUUAAAAGGAGAAUAAUAAAUUAAAAAAACAUUUUACUACUUAUAAUAAAGUAAAAAAAAUUACCAAUAUAAAUUGAAAAAUGAUUUUAUUACUUAAGGCUACUUAUGUUUUUUUUCCACUUAAUUUCACACUCUUUCACCUUUUUUUUUUCUUUCCAAAUUAGACGGAAAUAAACUGAAAUAGGAACCACAACAAAAUAGAACUCAUUUCCUUUAUAUUAUUUUUUCCCCUUCUUUUUAAAUUUUGAAUACAACAAAAAGAUUGAGCUUGUUUGGAUGAUUUUUUUCAUAAGCACUUAUAGAUAAAAAUAUAAGAAAAAAAUUAAAUAAGUUAAUUUCUCCCUAAACUAAAAUUAACUUAUACACGAAUUAAAAAUGAGUUUUUAAAGAUAAAACUAACUUAUACGUAAAUUAAAAAUGAGUUUUUAAAGAAACUAAAUAUAAGAGAACGUACCUUUAUAAAUUACUGAUUAUACAAAUUAAUUUAAUUUAAAAAAACAUUUUUCUUCUUCUCAUAUAGCAAGUGUUUAUGAAAAAGUUGUCCAAAUUAAUUUAAACAUGACCAUUGGAGCUCAAAUAUCUUUUGGCUCUUUGUGAGGGAAAUUAGAGAAAGAGAAAUUAACAGAAUAACUUUCUUUCAUACAUAAAAAAAGAAGAAGAAGAAAGAGUGUGAAAUUAAUUCCUAAACCUUUUCAAAUUUUUACUUUUAGUUCCUAAAUAAAAUUAUUUUAUUACUUAAGGUUUUGAGUUCUCACAAAGUAAAUUGUUACAAAUAUUUUGAAAUAAUUAAAAUCCAACUGUUAUGUCAACACAUAACAAAGAUUUUUGACGUCAAGAUGAAAAAAGAACACUGAAGUAAAUAUUGAAAAUUAAAAGUGUUUAAAUUUUUGUUUAAGAAUUAAAAGUAAAAAGUUUAAAAAAAUCAGAACUAAAAUCAUAAUUAAUCCAAAAAUUGGUUCCUAUAUCCAAAAGGGAGAAAGUUUUUCCUGGUGAGGACAUUUAUUUUUUUUUAAUAGGAGUGCGUAGUAAAUAGAAUAUUCUAUUUCACUAUGACCUUACGAGAUACGUUGCUACCGAACAUCAAGGUCAUAAGGGUAAACAUGUUGGUAAAGAAUGCCGCAACAGCAACAGAAGAUUUCCAUUUAAGAAGAUAAAAGGUUGACUUAAGAAGGGAUAAAUGGUUGAUUAUAAUUUAUUUGUUAAUAAAAGCUAACAUUAACAAUCAAUAUUUAUGGGUAAAAAAAAUUCAUUUCACUUGGACCUUACCUAGGAGAUACGUUACAACUUGCAAAGUGAACACCAAUGCCAUAAGGUCAAACAUGCAUGUUGACAGAAAAAUGAAAAUGCCACACCAGCAACAGCAACUUAUGUGUUGAUAUAUUGACAUCAUGACAUAUAAAUAUAAUGAGGACACCUUUUCAAUAUGGAUAUAUAAGAACAUCUCCAUAUGCCUCUCAAGUAAAUCUUAUUCUCAAAAAAAUUGAUCAUGUUAAAAUUUAUUAUUUAAGCAAAAUGUUAGAUCGAAAACGAUCAAGAUUUGCAUCUAUUUAAAAAAAAUGAUUUUUUUACUCUUUCUUUACAAAAUUAAUUUUCAUCUAAUUUUUAAAAGAUCUAAAAAAAUUAAUUUAACAUCAUAAAAUAAAAUUUAUUAUUGAAAUAAAAAAAUUAAAAAUAAUGUAAUACUAUAAGAUUCACUAAAAAAAAUUAUUAACAUCUCAAAAUGAGAUAUGUUUUAGAGAUGCUUUAAUAAAAAGAUUUUAAUUUUUCCUUGGUCAAUACCAGAUAAUACGUUGCAAUCGAACACUAAUGUCAUAUCAAGGCCAAACAUUUUGAUACCGCACCAGAAAACCCACAUCCACUAGUUUUUGUGUUGCAUGAUUUACACCGGAAGUAGACUUCAAGUCUUCAAUGCAUUAAAUUAAUUCACAUUAAUGCAUUGAAUAAGUCUUCAGGAAAUAAUAAAUUUGGACUCAUUUAUCACAGUGGGCGUCUAAAAUAUUCUUUUUUUUUUCUUAUUUGUUCAAUUUGAAAAACAACUUAUUUUUACUUAACUAUUUAAUUAUUCAAGAUAAUAUUAAAUAUUACCAUUUAAUUAUGUUCUUAUUUUUACUUAAUUCUUAAUUAUUUUACAUGCUUUUCAUAAAUAAAAUAUAAAUAAUUAAUAAUAAAAAUUACAUUAGGAAAUUUAAAAUAAUUUCAAUAUAAUACAUUUUUGUGGCUCUAUUCAAAUAAAAAUUUUCACUAAUAUCUAAAGGAAAAGAAAAUAAAAAGAAAAAAAAAUACAAUAAACUUCUUCAAUGUCCAACCUAUUAGAGGUGAUUUUUAGUUGAGUUUAAUUUAUUUUUUUUAAAAAAACAAGUUUUUAAUUUUUAAAAUUUACAUUUUUUUAAUUUUUAAUUUCAAAAUAUACUCAUUUUAAAAGUUUUUAUCCUAUUAAAAUUAAUUUAAGAGUUUUUUAUGGAGUAAUGAUAACUAUAAUAUGAUGGUGUAGGAUACCAUGUCAAUGGAGGUAAUCACUAUGAUAAUGAUGAUGGUAAUAAUAGAAAGGAUCAUGUCAAAUAUAUAGUAUGCAUGUAUUUUUUUAAAACUAAAAACAAAAUUCAUAAAAAAAUCUUAAUUUUAAAAAAUGAGUUAAAAAUUAUUCCAACUUUAUUUUUGUUCAGAUGAGUUUUAUUUUCAAAAUUAUAUUUGAUAACUAAAAGCUUUCAACCACUUCAAAUAGAUCUUAAGCUUAUGGGCAAGUUAAUUUAAAAUUCUCUCUAAUUAACUUCUCUAAAAGUUUUUUUUUAAUUUUGUAUAAAUUAAUUUUAAAAUUUUUUAAGUUUAUUUUGUUCUUCUAUGAAUACUUAAGGAAAAAAUUAUUAAAACAUGUGAUAAGGCUUUCCAAAUAUGUUAGUGUUGGGUUAGUACAUACGUUUGGCUAUGUGAGUGCUGAAUUUAGUUGAACACCACUUGUUUGAUGAAAAAAAUCUGAAUAGAAAAUGUUUUUUUUAAUAUAUUGACUGAAUGGUGUAUACUUUUAAUUAAGCUGCUUCCAAAGAUGUUGGAUACUAGUUUCAAUGCCAGCACCAUACGUUAGCGACUAAUCUUUAUUUUAUCUCGAGUACCAGGUUUGAAAUGGCACAAACUCUCGGGUCUAUAUGCGUCUCUCGUUUAUAAAUAAACUCGUUUCUAUAUCCUCCUCUAAUCUACUAUUAAUAUGGCCGACAAGUUAAUAUAUAGAGUAAAGUAUCAAAUUAGUCCUUCACUUUUGGAGGAGUUGUCAAUUUGAUCAUUGAGAUUUGAAAAAUAUCAAAAUGAUUAUCGACUUUACAUUCGGUUUGCUACAUUAGUCUCUGUCGUUAGUAGUCUCCUAAUAUCGUUAGUAAAUGUGUGAUGCGGCACGUUAAGUGUCAUCUGGACGCACACGUGACAAGCGUAAUUGGAAAAUAAGCAAUGUCACGCUAUAGUAACUAAUAUGACAUAAUUUUAAAUGUUAUAUUGAAAAAUGAAGAGUCAAUUUUGUAUAUAGUGUCAAAUUGAUCCGUAAUAAUUUUGAAUCUAAUUGAAAACAUGAUGAAUUCUCUCUUAUCAUUUUCUCCCUCCUAUGGUUGAAGGAUAGCGUUCGUGUGCUAGGUCCACGUCGAUCAUCGCUCUCCCAGUUGUGGUGGUUGCCGUUCUUCGUCACCCUUCACUGUUCAUUGACGCAAUCAGUACUUUUGUGUGUUCCACGUCGAUCAUCGUCACCCUCCAGUGUUGAUUGACGCAAUCGAUGAUUUCCAAUAGAGGUAAGGGUUUUGUUUUUCACUGCAUUUGGUAAUGGACAAACAUUAACAUCACUUACUUGUGGUAAUGGACAAACAUAAAACAGUCUCCUAUUAUUCCUUGUCGUCCUUGUUGUUCGAAUGGUAGCUCUUCUACGACAAUAGCAAAGACGAUUUGAUGUGGCAUUCCCCCUUGUGCUUAAAUUAACAGACAUGAUUGACCACAAAAUAAUAGAAGAAGAACUACAAAGAUGGAGAAAGAUGAAUAGGAGAAGAAUAAGAAUUGGAUGAGAGUAUGAGUAGGAGAAAAAAUGGAAUGAAAGCGUGAAUAAGAACUACUAAUCGCUUGUAGUGUCCUUCAUAACAACUUGGACUGGGUGUCCUCUAAAGUGAAUACCGGACCAAAAUAACCUACCUCACGUAUUUGUGUCCGGUAUGCAACCAGACUAUACGACCUUUUUUUUUUUGAGUCACAGACUAUACUACCUAAUAAGGAGUGCUGCACAAUUUGGUAUUAUACAUACGUAACUUUACACUAUCAAGUAUAACGAAUGAAAAAAUAGCUUAAUACAUUUUUUAAACAAAGAUUAGAUUAAGAAAACAAAGCAAAAUAAAAAAUGAAUUACUGAAGAAGAAAUUAAAGACACUAAUCAUGUUAAUUAGCUGGUUAUAAGAUUUUAAAAAUGACUGCCACAGGAAUGUUGACAACGUGACCUUGAUUACCAUACAGCCCAAUUCUCCCAUAGCUAGCAGCAGAACUGUUGUUGGUUACAUUGAAGAUCACAGACAAGACAAGUCUCUCCCCACUUGCAAGAGAGAAAUAAUUAGGAGAUACUUUCAUAGAAGUGCCAUAUGGAGCACUCCAACCAACAUUGUAUGUUUCAUUUCCAGCAAUGUUUUGGAUUAUUCUUUGUACCACUCUAGAUUGGUUCAACCUUGCUAUUGUGAUUGAGGGCAAGUUCAGAUCAGGGCCAUAUAGUGUUGAAUUAUAAGUCCAGCAAUUUUGACCGGUGUAGUUUAGCACUGUAGGAGUUGAACCAUUGAUACCACAUAGGAAUGACAUGUAGUCAUCAUAGCCUACAAAGAAAAAUAUGUAUAAACACAUUUGAAAAUUCAGAAAACAGGCUUGUUUAUUAAUCAAGCAGCUUUCAUAAAUUUGAGCUAGAUAAGUGAGACAUUUGAACAACAAUCGUUGCUGAAUUUUUGAAACAUUUGAACUUGCAUGGAAAUUAUAAUGAUUUGAAAGUUCAUUAGUCAAUUGAGACUUACUAGAAUCAAAAAGCAAUCCCGGAUUUAAUGCUGCAGUAGCAUUCACAAAACCACUUCCCAUGUCAAAGGGAGUUGCUGGAGAUAGGUUUUGGUCUAUGGAGGGAUAUGAUCGCUGAGCCAUUAUUGGCCUCCCAUUGUUGUCAUACAGAGAAGCUGUAGUGGAUAGUGCAGAUCCAAUGGCUGCAGGACUAAAAUUGGGAAACUGUUGCUUAAUUAGUGCAGCAAGACCAGCAACAUGAGGUGCAGCCAUGCUUGUGCCAGACAUCAUUGCAAAAUUCUCGCCUGUUAGAAUAGUGUAGAUCAGAUAUUCACAUAUCACUAUAUUGACAUGCUUAAUAAAUCAAAAUUCCUAUUUCCUAGUAUAAAUAUUUAUAACUUAAAAGGAUGUUAUGUUUAACUUGGAACAGGCCAAAUAAACACCUUAAACUUGUUUAUGUUUUGUUUUCUAGUAAAAACAAGCUUAUGUAUUGACAAACCUAGAAAUUCAACAGAAUCAGUGGCAACAGAACUCCAAGCAGCCCAUAUAAAAUUUCCAGGAGCUACCAAAUUGGGUUUCAUAAUGUCAGCUUCAUGAGGAAGACUGUCCUCUGGAUCUGGUCCUCUGGCAGAGUAAUACACAACCUUUGGGGCCUCAUUAUUGUAGUUGGCUUCUAAUCCACCACCAAUGCUAGCAACAGCCCCAAAUUUAACAAUUUUAUUUGAAUCCCCAUCUAUUUGCAGUGAAGAAUUGUAGUAUUGCAGUAAUAUCUGCACAGUUAAAAAAACGAAGCGAAUAGUUGGUCUCAGUGUCAUUCCCACACACAUGUAAGCAACGAAUAGAAAUAAGUUGACUGUUGACAUAUGUCAAAUCCACACCAUGGUUUUUCAUGCAGAUAUUAGGUGUUUCUUGCACUACUCCAAUUAGAAUUGGAGUUUCACCUCAGUAAUUUGCAUUAAAGGACUAUUCUGAUUACCAGGUGAAACUCCAAUUCUGAUUGAAGAACAGUACCAACAGCACCUAACAAAUUGUAUGUAAGUUUUAUCCUUACAUAUAAUAAAAUAAAAGCAAAAAGAAAAAAGACAGUAUACAUGUGCAAGGGAGAAAAUGAACAAUGCACCUUGGAAUCAUUUGCAGAUGGAAUUAUUAUGCCAGGCAUUUUCAUAGGAACUGGGUUAAGCUGAAAAGCAGUCACAAAAAGGUCCAUGGAGAAAACAACACCAACUGCACUAAGGUUCAUGGCUGUUUCUAAUGCCUGUUGAAUGGUGGAGAGCCCAAGCACAAAUCGGACUGAAUAGCUACAGAUCAGGAGGUUGCCCUGGACCAAAUCCUGACUGAACUUACUUGCAUCUUGACACUCACCAAUAUACAUAUCAUCAGUAACUGUUGUGUUUUUGUUCAAAGCAUGUCUUGCAUGAAUCAGUUUAAACAUCGUGUUCUCAUAUGUUCCAGCUGGGGGAAGUAAUUAAAGAAAAAUGAAAAAAAUAGGGUAUUAAUAAAUCUCAGUAGGUGUACUGAUGUAACAAAUUAUACUUGCACACAUUAAUAAUUGAAUCAUUUUAUUGCUCAUCAAGGAACUUCCCCAAUGUAACAUGAUUAAGGUCUUGAAGGUAACAAAAACUAGUUGUUUCAGUAGUGCAGUGUCCAUUUUAAAUCUUGAAUUUCUUUGUUCUUGGUCGGGAUUCAUAUAUAAAGUAUGACAUCACUUUUUGAAAUCACACACUUCACACCAGAUUUACCCCAUCCAAGUAAUUACUUUCCCAUCUGCACUUCUUUGUUAAUUUCAAGACCAAAUGCCCAACAAGGCCAAAAGGCCAAGUUAGUCUAAAACAAAUUCAUGUAUAGCUAACCAGGAUUAGAGCAACAGAAUUUUACGUGCAAGUCCAACACCAGGUAUGGUCACAUUAUUUCCAAGACAUAGGGAGUUGCUAUAAACUCGAUCAUGAGAGGUGGCACCAACAGUAAAAAUCCAUGGACUGAAGGAGGACAUGCUCAUAGGUGAUGGUCCAGUAUUGCCAGCAGCUUGCACUACAAAAAUACCAGCUUUCACAGCUGAUAGCAAUGCCAUAUCUAUUGGAUUGAAGAAAGUUGCGAUGCCAGAAGGACGCCUAUUAGGAGUGAUUGACAAGCAUAUUAUGUCAACCCCAUCCUGAGCUGCCUGUAAACAAUUGAUUAUACUAUAAGCCAUGCCAUAGAUGUAAAAUUGGGGAUAUAAUUUAGUAAACAGAUUUUGAAAGUACUUUACACUUUACAGUAACUCUUCAAUUCAAGACCAUGCAUACCCUCAAUGAAAAUUUAAAUAAAUGAAUGAAUAAAUAAAUUAACAAACUUUAAAUGAAAAGAAAAGUAAAUUAUAUUGGAUCAACCCACAGGUUAAAUUUAGAAUGCUACUACAAUCUUUAUCACAUGCUCUUCACUGAAUCAGAAUUAUUUGAAGCCAAUAAACAGUCUGUUGAAAAAUGGAUAAAAAUAAUUAUUUAGUUAAUCAAGCAAUCACAUUGGCGUGUACUAGAGAAUGGAAGAGAUAACAUUGAGAUGAUAAAAACAAGAAAAUAUAUCAAGUGUCAACAAAUGACCUAAAGUAAAAUUAUCAAAUAUUGCUGGCACAUGAAUGGCAUACAAAAGCACAGAUACCUGGUCAAUAGCUGCAACAACAUCUGCUGCAAAUCCUCCAAAUCUCUUGUAUAGUGCCUUGUAAAUGGCAAUGCUGUAAAAGAUUGAAAUGGAAUGCAUUCAAAUGUUUACAUAUAUAGAAUAAAAAUUAAUUAUGCUUGCAUGUAAUUAUUAGAAAUCCAGGUUAGAACAGAUCCACUCUUCAUUUUGUUCUUGAAUAAAAAGAAUUACAUACACCGUUACUAUAGUUUUCUAUAGUCUUUUUCAAGUGCCAAAUAAAUUUACAAAAAUUGUCGGUUACUGUACAUGGAGAUCAAUUCUAUGGAAUUGAAGCAUUCCACAUGGAAGAAAAAGAGAUAAGUGAUAGACAGAAAAUAAAGUAGAGCAUAUGACAAAAUAUGGGGAAAAUUUAAUUAUGAAUGGCAGGUAAUGUACACAGGGACAAUGGAGUGGUCCAUCUCCUAGGACUGAUACCUAUUUUGGUUCUGAACCUGGCCCAACCAUUGAAGGAGUUUUCUUUCAGUUUUUCUUGUAGAAAUCUUGUAAUUUUGAGAGACAGGAAAUAUUUCCCCCUUACUUCUGAAAAUCAUAUUACAAGUCUCAUUUCGGACUUUAAAUGCUCUGAAACAUCCUGAACUUUUGAGACUUAAUCAAUCUCGUAAAUAUGACAUGGAAAAAUCUUCUAGAUGCACAGACCACUGACUUAAUACAUAGAACCACAUACCCUUUCAAGGUAAUAAAUAUCUACAGGUCUAAUAUUUUAACUGCAUUGAUAUACUAGCCUAUGUUAUCUUGAAGCUCAAUGCAAGGGAACCCUCAUUAAGAUUAUAGAUACUCAGCUUUAGCACCUAGUUGAGCACUUCUCUGCAAAGCAAAAGGCAUUAAGCGUUUCUCAGAUAAAUUACAUCUUUCUAUCACUAGAUAUCAACUUUCUCUUCUUUUUUCUCCCUUUCAAGUCUAUUGGUCCAUUUCAUCUCAUCUUCAAUUAUUUUUCAAAAUGACACAUGAGUUUUUAACUUGUAUAAAGUUCAAGAUUAGUUACUGUGAAUGAGGAGCCAUCCCACUAGCAUUUCCAAAAACUUGGCCAGCAACAAUCACUGGAAUUCCAUGGUUUCCGGCUGCAACAGAAGCUGUGUGCCUGUAUGUUAUAGAUAUAUCAGAAUGGACAUUCAGUGAAAAAACAAGUAAAGUGAAGUUUUAGUUUUGUGGCACACUUAAUUCAAAUACCUAUCAUAUUUUGAAAUUUUGAAUGAAAGAAACAUGAUUGAUAGUCUGGCAUGAAUAUGUAAGUUCAUUUUUAACUUUCAAGCAUUGGCUAAAACCAUAUUUUCGAGUAGCAAUUCCAGACCAUUUUUCAAUAUAUUUAUUUUCUUUCUAAACUAGUGAAGCUAAACAAAACAGGGGGAAAACUAAUUGAUGAGUUCAAAAUUCUGAUAAACAGAAGCUAGAUAGAAAUGAUUCAUCAAAGUUCAAGCAGAGGGAAAUAAACUUCAAAAAGAUAACAGUUAUAGAAAGACAGAUUUGUUGAUAUGGACAAAAAGAAGAGGAGAAUGGACCAAAUGGCCAAUUGUGGUUAACAACAUUUGAACACAAUACUCAUUUGGAAACACGAAACACUCACGUGCCGUGGCCAUCGCCAUCAAAGGGAGAAGCAUAGUCCUGGGAUGAGUUAAAUAUUCCUCUGGUUAUAGCAGAAGCGGCAAAAUGUCUAGCCCCAACAAGCUUCCUAUUGCAAGAACCGGACGGAAAAUCUGGCGUAACCUCACAGGCGCCAGAGAAAUGAGCAGGAACGGGGAAUGGAUGUUCAGAUUUAUCAUCUGCAAAACUAGGGUGUGUAGGAUCAAUGCCAGUGUCAACAAACCCAAUAGCGAUUCCUUCUCCAGCAGUUUCAAACCCACCUGCUUGCAACCAAGCUCCCUGUGGCAGACCCAAAAAUUGUGGAGUGUGUGUGGUUGCAGUUCUCACAGAAAAAUCCAAAGCCACAUUGGACACUUCUCUUCUCCUUGAAAGUUUUUCUGCCUUCAAGAUUUCAAAAAUCAAGAACAUGUUGGUUGAAGAAGUUUACCAGAUCACAAAUACAAAAACCAAAAUAUGCACAAAUGGAAACAACUCAAACAAUGAAGCACAUAUUUCUUCACAGAAUAAGGACACAAUCAAGAUGUUGAAAAGUAAAACCAUAGCAUACCUGUUGUUGGGUAACCAGCACAGCAAAUCCAUUAAUCAAGUAAUGAUAGCUAUAGAGCUUCAGAUAUUUCUCCCCAUUAAACACUUUAUUCAACAAUGAGUCGUGAACUCGGGCAAAGUACGAACCACGUUUCAUAACUGGCUUUGAAACAUUCUGAUGUCUGAAAAAAAAAAAAAAAGACCAUUCAUAUCUCUCAAAUGAAUGCACAAUUAAGCAUCAAAGUCAAAAAAUUGGAGGAAACUAAAAAUAUGGUACAAAGUACCGGAAUUUAGAAUAUCAAACAAAUACUAUAAUGAUAAGGUUUUCAAAAAACUUGUUUUCGAGAUGUGUAGAUACUAUGGCAAUCAUUUGAACAAAUGUUCAUCUUAUCAUCAUAACACAAAUACAUAACUUCAACAAGAAGCCUCAUCCUCAGCUAUAAAAGGAAUGUAACAAUUAAUACACUUUGAACACAGUUUGUUAACAUUAAAAACAAAUAUGGGGGGGUACCUUUGUUUGUGAACUCUAGUUCUUCUUCUCCCAGAUGAACCAUGUUUAGAGUUGUUGCCCACUGUGAUUAACUCAUGAUGAUGAUAGUGAGAAGCAGGAGCUUGUCUCAGAGUAACAAUGUAAACAGCUGUAGUUGAAUCACUUUGACACACGGAAGGUAUUAGAACCAUUCCCAAGAAAAACAGUACCACUAAAUGUGUAUGCUGUGACCAAUGCAUGUUUUCCAUUUGGGUUUUGGAAUGCAAAGCCAAAGCCCCACCAAGCAUGAACAAGAGUGAUGACAACUAUUGUUCAGUUCAGCAGCACGUAGUAAAGGCCAUCUUCAACAGUAAGACUUGCUGACCUUUAAUAGUAUUUAUGAAAGUUGAGUAAAUACUGAAAAGCUGUGUCAGGUUUUGCAGCUUGUUCUGAAGCCUGAAGUGGAAGUGGAAAGUGGAGCCAACUCAACAAUGAUAUUAAAGCAGGUUGAUUCGGAAUUAACAGGUCAAGUAUGUAUGGAGAAUCUUAAACUAUCUCGGGUGCUGUGAUAGUGUGGAGUAGUAGUAUAGUAUAGUAGCAUAGUAAUAAAUACAUGAAUUAUUUGUUCAACAAGAAGCCUCAACAUACAUCCUCUCUUUAAUUGUUGAAAUUUAUGAGUUUAACUAAAUUGAAAAUGAAAUCUAUUAAAUAAAAAAUGGACUUCACAUAUUUAAUCUCAUUCAAUAAAAAAAUGUAUUCAGAAGACUCAAAUAAAAAUGUUAAUAAGAUUUGAGUUUAAUAUUUACAUACCAAUAACAUAUAAAUUAAUUUUAUAUUGUCAUCAAAUCAUAAAUUAUUGAGUAAAUUAUUUUAAGAUUAUUAUUUUAAAAGUUAAUAAAUUUAUUAUAUAUGAUAAGUUGUAAUUGAAUAAUUAUAUAUAAAAAAUUAUACUAUAACUUUUUUAUCAUAAAAUUUAGUGUAGAUUAUACUAAGAUUAUGUGAGAUUGCACAAUCCACUGCAUACUGACUUAUGGAAUAUUGAAUGUUCCUAUACUAAACCUAAAUCUAGAUAACAUUUAUAAAGGGAAGGUUUGAGUGGGGCAUGUACGUGUAGCCUUCAACCUAACAUUAUUACAAAUAUUUAAGGCACUGCUUUUUGGCUGUGCCCCAAAGAAAGUGGAUACAUAAUGGUUCGGUGGCAUUUCAAGUGCAAGUGCCUUUGCGCACAUGUCAUAGUGAUAGUGCACCUCCACCCGGAGCAAAAAGUGUUAUCUCAUAGCAUUCUAAGUUAAAAAUGCAUGUUUUGGAAUUUUUUUUUUUGCUUUGUUGAUUAGUUAUCAUUAUGAGACCCACGCAUGCCUCAAUUUUUUUUUCUUUGGUGGCUAUUUGAGACCUUGAAGCAAGACUAACACAUUUUGAUAAAGUUUUGUUUUAUAUGAAACUUUUUGGUUGUGAAUAAAAUAUAGUUGAGGUGCAAUGACUACUGCGAAGUAAACUGAUAAAAUAUGGUUAACAAGUUGUUGAUAAGACUGAUAAAAUAUAGAUUAUUUUUAACACAAUUAUAUUAUUUACAUACUUUUUUUUUAUAAGAUUACUUUCUUAUCUCCUUCCAUUACAUUGAUCUUUUUUUUUUUUUAACUAGAGUAUCCCAGUUAGAAACUAAGAACUAAUCUCCAUUAGAUCUCAUCAAGUCUUGUACUCAUGUUAGUUGUAACGUGAGUUAGAGUAUUAAAAAUGUUUCUGUUGAUAAGCAAUAGGUAAAUUUUACUAUAAAUUUUCACAAAAGAUGAUAAUUUUUUCUAGUCUAGCAAAUGGAUGUGUCUUCUCUUAGUCUAAUAUAUCAUGCUCAUAAGUUAUUAAUUUUAGAAUAUAUAUAGUUUUAUUUAUUUACUUAAAAAUAAACUCACUGGUUUUUCCGGUAACAUUGGUCAAAGUGAUAGGCCAUGGUAUCAUUCCAUCUUUCUCUGCACUUUAGGAACAAUCUUUUUAAAAUAUCUGUUGAAGUGCUUCUUCGAAUGGCGAAAGAUCCCGAUUCUAGCUACUACCAUCAGCAGUAUGGUAUGGCUUUCUUUUCUAUUUCAAAUGAUGACUUUGUGCAUGUGUCCCCAAUACCAGAAGAAAAGGCUUUUGGGUGUGAGAUUCUGUUCCAAUUCCAAUUUUGUAUCAAUCCCUUGAAGUUCCGAAAUUUCAGGAUUCUAUUAUUUUCUUCAUACUUUUUGGACCUUCAAAUCACAAUCUGUAAUUAGUUUCCUUUUUUUUCAUUCUAAAAUAUUUAUAAAAUCUCAUCUAAAAAAAAUGUCAAAAAUAUUUUUUUAUCAGAAAGUAUUAAAGAUAAUAUCAAAUGAUUUAUACGUACCAUUUCUCAAACAACAGAUAUAGACCCUCGACAAUGUCAAGUAAGUACCUUAGUACAUUUGCAAUAGUCAAACGACAUUAAAAAAAAAAAAAAAGAAGCAAAAUUGGUAAAUUAACCGAGUCCUAACUAUGCAUAAAAGAUAAAAACCUAGACCUAAAUAAACGAGACAUAAGUGUAAUAUUAAUAAUAGCAGAUAAAGAUUAUGUGACAUCCGUCCUAUCUUUGAAAAUAUAAAUGAGUAGUGAUUUAAAACACAAUAUUAAAAGUUUCUUGAAACUGAUCAUAUCUACUAAGAUAUAUAUAUUGUACGAAAUUAAAGUGGUUGAGAGUUUCUACAUCAAAAUACCGGGGAGAAACUCUGUCAAGCUUCUACACUUACCUCGAUCAUUGGCAUAAAAUUCUCUCGUUCUUCUCUACUUUCACUCUCUUAAAUUUAGAGUUUAUAGUUUUAUUGUCAUAUUUUUAUUAAAUUUUAUAACAAAUCUUCAUUAUUACUAAUUAGUUUUAAAUCAAAUAUGAAAUAUCUCGUUUUACAGUCUAUUCCACUUAAUUUGUCUUCUUAAGUAAUUAGAAAUAAAUUUUAUUGUAAUGUUAUAAUAUUUGGGGUUAGUAUUUAUACAAGUAUCUUCUUUGUUUAUUUAUGUGUUAUAUUAUCUUAAGGCUGGAUAAGCUUUUUUAUAAGCACUUUUAAGGGAAGGAAAUUUUUAAAAAUAAUUUAAUAAAUUAAUUUGUAGAAAUUUUCUUACAUUAAUUUCUUUAAAAAAAUGGUUUUUAAUUCAUGUAUAAGUUAAUUUUAGUUUAUGAAUAAAUUCAUUUUAUUUUUUUAAUUUUCUUCUUAUAAAAAUAAGUUUGGAGAAGUUUAUCCAAAGAUACCCUCGUCUUAGUCCAAUUAUCGCUAAGGAUCGCAUUAUCUAGAAUUUUCCUCUCAUUUGAGGCACCUCAGAAUCAUCCAUCGAAUCUGUUUUAAUUUUUUUUUCCAGUGUUCACUUUAUUCAAACUCGUUUAUUGCUAAUGUAAAAUUUAAGCUCUUUCUUCAUUUCCACAAAUCCAGAUUACUAAUGUUCUGUCAGCCCAGCCCGUGACUCUGGCCCAAAAUUUCCUCACUCCCCUGUCCAUCGAGCUGGUCCAAUUAACGUUCCUUCCUUGUUUCCCAUCUCCACCCCUUCUCUUGGGCAUUUGUUUCCAGCACUCCCACUAUUGCUUCCUGCACCUCCCAUUGCAUUCUGGAAAGCUCAUUCCGAAAUGCAAAAUGGGUUUUCUGGAAUGCAAUGAUAGGUAUAGGAUGCAAUAGCCCUUCUCUUGAGGCUUGAGCAUACCACUCAGUGUAUUUGGUUUGGUGGUAAGAAAUCAUGGUGAGUCUAGUACAAAUGCAACUAUUUGUUGCUUCCUAAAAUCAUAACGAGUUUAACUCUCUCUCUCUCUCUCUCUUAAUAUGACUAUGGCUUUUGACAAUAUCAUUGAGAGAUUGAUCAAUAAUUACUACUUCAGCAUAAUAUACUGAAAAAUUAUGGUAGUUAUGACUGUGUCAUUGAGAUAUUGAUAGACAAUUGCUACUUUAAUAUGAUCUCAUUAAAUUAGAACAUGAUUACGAAAGUGCUCAAUCUUUCUUUUUCUGGUUAACCUGACUAGUAUUUAAUCCCAAAUCAAGCAGUCCUAUAAGGGACUUGGUGACAUGUAGUCAGGGGUUGAACCCAAAUUAGUUUCUGCUUAGAGGAUUAUAAGUUAUAUAGGAGCCACACAGAGCUAACUUUCCUACAAAUCAGAAAACAGCAUGUGGAGAUUUAUGAAUGCUGUUUGCUUCAAACUAAAAUCAGAUAUUCAAUGUCUAUCAAUAAGAAAGAUCAGAUAUUCAAUAUUCUGAGCAAGAAGGAACUUAUUCCAAAUUUCAAACUCUCCAUGUAUUGUUCCUACUCUUGUCAUCAUUUAUAUAGCAGUAAAAUUUGUUUUUCUGUUUAUAUACAUAAUUGGAGAGUAUGGAGAUCACUAAGGAUGAAAGAUGUAAAACCUAAAAUACCAUCAAAGCUGCAGGCUAGGUCAUCAGAAGUAAAUAUAAACUCAAAAGGAAAGUUGGAAUGGAUCAAUGGCAUUAGCACCUACAAUGGGUCAAUGUCAUUAUCCAUAUCUAAGUUAUUGACACCGAGCAAGUAGCAAAAUUUUAUCUUGACUUUCACCCAGCAUCAUCUUCAGUUCAAUUGGUCACUGAAAGAAAGGACCUCACUAAGGACUAAAAUGAAAUAUGACUUAUCCAAAGUCAGACAGAGCUGAGAUGUUAUACUUUAUGCACAAGCUUUCUGGAUUUCUUCUAUCAGCGACACAAAUUCCGCUCUGCACUUAGUGAACUGUGCAUCAGAGCUGAAUAACUUAUGCAUGGCACUUAAUUCAUCAGAACUUGCUUUUUUCAAGAAUCCUUGUAGCACCAAUUUCAUCUCUUCAAAAGAAUCAUAACUUCCUAUGAUGCUAUCUUGCUCCUGCCUUAUCAAACCAGCAUCAAAAAGCUUGGUCUUGGCAUCACCUAGGGAGUUGCUUGAACCAUGACUGAACUUACAGUCAUCAAUGGCACUGCCUGAAGAUUCAGAGACAACUUCUUUGUGAUUCCAGUACUCGACGCAUUGAUGAUUGGGAUCCUCAGCUUCAAUGGCCUGGAAAAGUUUUUCAGAAUUGAUUAAAACAUCAUUAGUCAGAACAUAAUAAGCUACAUUAAACUAGUUCAAGAAAACUGGCUAAAGAUAAGAUCCGAAUUCCAAACUGUAUGACUAUAAAUCUAUAUUAGAAAAAGAAUAAACCAACAAGGGUGUGAAUAGCUUAAACUUUCAUGAGUUUGCAUUACCUGAAUAAUGGAUGGUGAAAGGAAUCCAAACAUUUUGUGACCGUUAAUGCUUUGCAGAAGUUCCAAGGAAGGAAGUUCUAUUUCACCUUGACUCCUUUGCCUUUUGAUUUCAUGAUUUAGUCUGUCAAGAACUGAUUCCCAGCACUUAUCUGCUGAGGUGUUUGUGAAAGCCUCAUUUGGAAGUUCUUCCAUGGUAACCUGAAAUAUAUUUUACUGAAUGAGAAAGAAAUAUACUUCCAACUGAAAAAUGUCCAUGCAAAUACCAUAAAAGUAAAAAUAGAAUAACAAGAAAUCAACUAUCACUUAGUUCCAUUAAUAUUAUGUUAGAAGAUUGUCAGAUCCCUGUACACCUUAACUCUAACUCCUAUUUACAUUAUUAAAUAGGUUUGAAGUACAUAAAUCUACAAGCAGAAAGUACUUGAUAUGAUUUUAACAUGAAACAGAAACAUCAGGAAUAAUACCUUGAAAAUAGGCCCAAGAAAUCCAGCAUCAUAGACUUCAGAAAGAUAGUUACAAAUUCUUGGUGGAUCAAGAAUGCUAAAGAACUUAACACGACUCUUGAAUCCUUCAUAAAUUUACCAAAACAAAUGAAAUGUUAAACUCCCACAAAAAAAAAAUUAAGGUAUAUUACAACCCCAGAAAAGAUCCUACACUGCAGCUUACCUUUUGGAUAUAUUGCAUGCUUACUGCACCACAGCUUUCCACAAAUAACAGAGCCCAAAUUUACAGGCUCAACAGAAAUACCAAACUUCUGCAUUAAGAAGCUUUGGUUUGUCAACGAUAUACUUGUAUUGGAGGUUUCGGCGUCACCUAUUUUAGAUACACUGUUGAGUUGCUCUCCUGAAUCAGAAUGCAUCUGCAGAUCCACUCCAAACAAUUUAUAACCAUCAAGUGUACAAGAAUUUUGAACAUCCCUUGAACAAGAUGAAAAUUCUUUGGCAGCAAUACAAUCAGCCCCAGGUUCCAUGUUGUCUUGUUCUUUUCUGGCCUCUGCAAAGCUGACUUUUUCCACAUAUGGAACACCCUUAUUAUGAUGGUAAUCAGCAGCAUGCAGAAAAUAAUUUUCAGGUUCACCAGACAUAACAUCAAUAUUCAAAUCCACAGAACCUCCUUUCUCCACCAUAACUUUAUUGUCCAUUACCAAAUCUUUUUCAUUCAAAUUGUCUUUAUGACAGUCUUUAGUGCCAUAUGGUGCACUAAAAGUUUCAUGGUGAAACUCUGAGUGGACUAAUUCUGCUGAAAUGUGGCUGUAAGAACUACUAAGUAUAGUUGAAUUUGACUUAUCAUUAGUUCCUGCACAAGUUGAGUUUUUCCCUUCUUUGUAACUCUGGGUUUGACAAAUGGCACUCUCCACAUCUUGUUUAUAAAUGCAAGCAUCCUCAGCAUUAGCAGAAACCAUUCCAGAGUUUCUAUUUGCCCACACUUCAAUGGCAUGUGAUUCUCCUUCUAAUGCUUCAACCAAUGUACUUAGUUCAUUCAUAGUAUAACGAAACAGAAUAAACCUGUUGUCCAUUUCACAUGAGCAAAACAAAUUUGAGUGUUUGAGACAAGAAUAACAGUCAGGAGAGCACUUGCAACCUAUGGCAGAUAGGUGCAAAUCAUAGAAGCAAGAGAAGCAUUCUCUUUCCUCAAACAAAUCAAAUUUACUGUCCAUCCUCAGCAUCUUUAAAUGAGUUGGAAGACAGUCAAGCCUUUCCUUUUCCAUAGUUAUCCUUGUCUGUCAAAAAUAAGGGUAACAAAAUGUGAAAAAAAAAUAAUGAAAUGAAGAACAGGUAUCUGCAUGGGAACUAAAAUUAAAUAAUAAAUGCCAACCAAAGUGUCAUAAAGCUUUUUAAAUAUGUGGAGAGUGGGUUAUGAUCAAAGAUAAAGAGUAUGCAAGAAUCAUUACCUUAACUGCCUUGGUAAGAACUCCAUCUUUCCCACAAGCACUUCUCCAUUUUAUAUAUUUUAGAUUUUCUUUUCCAUGAAGAGUUAGCUCUGCAAGGGCAUGCAUGGCUUCCUGAGCACAUCCAAAUAAUAACUUGUCAUGAGACAAUGAAGUCUUACGGCACUGCAAACUGUAAAGCUCGGCAGCAUUCUGGCCAUGCACAAGCCAAUCAACAGGAGCCACAUUCACAGCCUCUGCACAGUUGAAGCCACAAUUGAAGCCACAGUGGUAUGCCCUUGGAAAGGUAACAACAAAUUCUCCUGAAUGCUGAAUAGUGCGAUGUACAGGCACCCCCUCAGAUUUAAGAAUUGAAGGAGAUAACUGAGUCACCUGCUCAAAGAUGAAAUCAUAACCACUAGAAUCAUAAUACAGUUCUCAAACUCUAUCUACUACACAAAGAGAACUAAAAUAUCUAAGACUUGUAUGAGAGAUGAACAGAUGUGCUAGAGUUCUGGAGAGAUAAGAUAGUGUUGCUUUGGUAGAAACAGAACUGUCAAAGUUCAGCAUACUACAUAAUGAGAGAAAGGUCAUAAAACAGAUAACUGUACCAUAAUUUUAAAAUCUUUAAUGGACUUGUAAAGAACUAAGGGUAACUUGACAAAUGCAGGUUAUACAACCAAGAGCGUUUACACCAUGCCAAAGGCUUGAUCUAUUGGCAAAGGUGAAACUUUUGACAUAUAGCAUCCUACAUUAGACGCAAACCAUACCCUAUUUAAGGCUUUAAGCCAUUAUUAGGCAUAAGCCACACUAGGUUGAACCUGACCCUCACAACCUUUUGGACAUAUCAUUUUGUCCCUCGAAGAGAAGGUUCACCCUCAAACCUUAAGAUGAUUGGAAACAUAUCAAACCCGUGAUUUGAACCCCUGUUGACUUUAAUUCCAAAUGAUAUGACCAAGACACUUACCACGGGACAUUUGUCUACAGAAACUUAUGUGCCGUGCAGUAUACAUCACCGCAGGACAUUUUUCUACAGGAGACAUUAAGUUGUUUAGACAAUACUUACUCCUAAUCAACACUUUAUCCCAAACACAAUAGGAGCUUACCAGGUAGAUUCUAUACUGAACUAGUGAACUUUGAUUCUUGGGAAGGCCAAGGAUUAACUCUUCUAGAAGCUUAAGUUAUUAAGUGGAAACAUUAUAACAAUUUUAUAUCUACAAGAUGGCUCACACAAGGUAAGCGAAGGCUUGAAGUGUGGAUAGUGCAUAAGUCCACCAUACCUAGUGAAAAUAGUUAGGAUCAUACUCUCGAUCACUUGUUCAUAGUGGCUCAAAUACUAUGUCAAGGAUAUCCUAAAAACUUUUGUCAAGUGGAGGGUCAAGAAUAGUUUUUCAUCUCCAGCACAGGGAGAAUAAACUGGGAAAGGGGGGUGGGGGGGGGGGGUGCGAAUCUUCUCUACCUUACUCAUAAAUUGAUUACCUAAUAACUCUAGCUUCCGCUAUAUAAGUAUCAUACACUAAACUAAUCAAAAGUGUCACGCCUUUAACUAAAUAAACAUGAAGUGAUACUCUGAAGUCUAAAGAUUUCAAAAUGUCAUCAUGUUUUUAGUUUCUUAACUUUCACAGGUGGCAUUAAAAGUUCCUAGCAAACUUCCAACAAAAUACACAUUUAGCAUCAACUACAAUCUCUGUUUGUUUAUGAAAUCUCUAUAUUGAAACAGAAUGAAGGCAACCAAAAAACUGAAAUUUAGGAGGAAAGUACAAUUCCAAGUAGCAUACCAAUUCAUUGAGUAGAUUUGGUUGUUCUUCAAAUAAAUCAGGCAAGUGCUUUCUCAUUGCAUCUUCCAGACCUGGAGCAUGGCUUCCAGCUACUCCAUACCAUACUUUUGGGUCACCCCAGUGCAGAUAAUUAAGUGAAUAGAGGUGAUGGUCCUCAACAUGCUGUUCCAAGGAGAAAGAAACAAGAAAAAGGUGUUAGUUUUUAUUGGAAAGUAUGAAGAUCUGAAACAAAAGCAAUGCAAAAUUGAAGACAAUAUUACUUGUUUUAUAGAUCAAUAUUUCAAACAAAUCAACACACACAAAGCAGUGGAACCAAAAAUGUUGAGAGUGCAAGCAAACUGAGAAUUCUAUUAUAUUAGACAUGAUUCAAUAAUUAUGCAGUUUGUAGCGACCCCUAUCUGGAUUCUAGUCUAUGUCUAACACUAGUUCUAGUCUUUUAUUUUCUCCACUGAACCUUCAAUUAAAUUAUAUUUUUUUAUAAAACAGACAGAUUUUAAAAUUUUCAACUCAGCUAAGUCAGCUUUCAUGACAAAUAACUUAAACUCUAUAACUCCACAGACAGAUACAGAAAGUGAUUAAAAAGAAAAUUAGUAAUAUCAUCUGUUAUGCCUUAAACUUUGUUUCUUGCAUAGAUUUAGACUGAGAAAAUGCAAUUCUCACUACUUACCCAGCAAAAUGAGGAAAAGCACAUUCCAACAUACAGCCAUGGAACUACAACUCCUGAGAUAUCACUUCCUUCAAAACAUAAGGCAGAACCUGGCAGUCGUGGGAAGUUAUUCAGAUUCCAACCAGACAGGGCAUAUCUAUCUGACUCAUUCUUAGUUAAGGAAGAUGUCUUAGGAAAACCACUUCCAAGUGAUCCAGUUUCCAAGUCAGCUCCAUAAUACACCUUCAAAAAUAACAGAAUAAUAUAUAAUUUUUUUGCAUAAUUAUGUGACAGUAAGACUAACGAUAUUAUCAACGAACCGCAAUUAGUACCUCAACCUCAUCAGUUGGUUGCUCUAUUAUUCGCCAGUAUUCACCUUCAAUUUCCUCCACAGAGGGUUUCCAUCUCUGCUGGUGACUACUAUCACUAACUUUUUCAUAUUCAUUGGCAUCAUUCAAUCCAAAGUAGCAAUCUUUAAAAACAUUAGCAUAUUGCUGAAAGUCUUUAAGUGUGAAGUCUGACCCUGAUUGGAAUCCAAACUUCUCCUCAGGCUCAGAAGCAACAUUAGCUUCAGAACCUGAUUUGGCAGUUCUCAUACCCAUGCCCAUCUUUGACUGCUUUCUACGUUUUCGUUUCCUUCCCCUAAUUUUCUUUCUCAUGGGUUCCCUGUUCUGAAGCAAGUCAAUUUGCUGAAUACGAGUGGGAAAUUUUGCAUUUUCCCAUAAAUCUUUCUCCUGAAGAGGGCAAGGUGGUACCCAGCAAGCUGGAGGGACAAUCCUACAUAUGCCAUAAGGUUCAGCUUGGGGGCGAAUCUUAGCUAUGUAACCAAGUGUGUCUUCAAACUCCUGAUUAGAGUAUAAACAAAAAGUUAAUUCAAAAUACAAUAUAAACACCACCAAAAACUAUAAUACUAUGAUAGUGAUAAUUAUAAGUACCUCAAUAGUUGGAUAAAACACAGGUGCUUCAUCAACUAUAGGCUGGCAUGCUUCAUCCGGAUCCCAUCUGGCUGAUAUCUGCAACAUGACAAUGAUAUAUAUGCAUAGUAAUUUUUAAAUCAUUUUUUCUUUUGAAUAUCCAAACUGAUAUUUAUUCACCAUAAAAAAUAUCCAAACUGAUAUCUAUAGGAAAUAUGUUUAAAAGAUUGAAAUUAGUAUCUGACUUCAUAGAGUAUACAAAGACACAUUCACAGCACAGUAGAUCAUGCUAAAUACCUUUCUAUGCCGUGGACUGCCAGAAGACUCAAGUGUGUUUUCCAUUUCUGGUUUAUGCCUACAAGGAUUAUCCUGCAAAAUAUCACAUGUAUGAAUGCUAAAUUUGUUGACUCAAUAAAAAAUGAUUGGGAGAAACAUCAAAGUCUAGCAAAGUUUAACACAACAUGUCCUUUCCAAAGGAUUGAUUCAAACACUGUAACAGCUUAAUUUCAAGCAUUUAUGUUGUUACACCAGCUAGAAAUCAUGUAAAAUAUAUGGAUUUUCAGGUAAAGGCAGAACAGCAACUCAAUCAUGCAGUUAGUGCCAUCUAAUCUUCUAAAACAAGUUAUACAACAUUGAUGCCCUUCAUUUGCUUAUGCUGGUAAGGUAUAAGCAGUGUAUGCCAUGAGAAAGAUUUAAGUUUGAUUGAAGCCUCAACUAGCAGUAUUGACUCAUCAUUGAUGCAAGGUUGGAGAUAGCUCUCAGAAUUCAAAGACAACAGGAUACAAUCUUGUAUUAAAAAAAAAAACAGUAUCAAAUGUAAAACCAAAACGGUUUUUGUACUUUGGCAUCAUUCAGGUUACUUACAUCAUAGUUGAAUAAAUACACUUCAAACAGUUACAAAAAGAUUAACUAAAUUUAAGUUAAUCACAUUUUUAUAGCUAAAAAAAACAUCCUCAUAUUUUAAGCUUUAAUAAGAUAGACUCAUAGAGCAUUAAAUUAAUAUUUUCAAAGUUCAAAUGCAUGCAAUCCUCUUGAAACCAAAUAAUGUAAAUGCAAUUCAAUACAAAACAGGAACAAUCAAAAGAUUAGGCCAUCCAAUGCCAGACAUAAUAAAACAUUCCAGAAAGCUAAACAAACCAGCCACCACCACCAGGGUGAGAAAUUUCCAAUCUUUCCAAACCCCAAAAAACGAAAAGUCACAUAACAUGUAAAGAACAGCCUACAGUAAAAACAAAAUUAAGGGUUUACAAUUCCUGAGUAAAUUAACAUCAUCCUUCUGGGGAGCAGAAAUUAGCACAGGAACUAAACUAGUAAUAUCAAAUAUGACACAAGCGAAAACACACAAUCACAAUGUCUUAAACAUAAUGAGAAAAGACUAAAAAGAAAGAAAGGAAUGAAGGAAGCAAAAGAUACACAAAAAUAACAACAGUUUUCAAAUUCGAUAAACAAAGAAAAGAUCUGAAAUUUGUGAUGAUCCAUAACAACAGAGGAUGGAAAUUUGGAACAGAGUAGCAGCACAUGAAUGAAAAGCGCUCUAGAACACGUACCACAUUGUCAAGGUUUAAAAUUUAAAUCACAAAAUGAGAAAAAAGAAAGAACCAACCUCUUUGGCGUGAGAUUCUGCAGCCAAUUUCAACUGUUUCAUUCAAUGCAAAAUGAAAGAUAAACCCAAUUGAAUAAGUUAUUGAGACUGCAACAAGAACAGAGACCAUUGUAACUAACCUUAUCAGAGUCCCAAUUAGCCAAAGAGACAUUCCACAAAACAGUUUCUCCCUUAUCUAUCUAUUACCCAACUAACUGACCCCAAACAAACCUUAAAAACUGCUAAAAAACAACAACAACAACAAAACAAAUGCAGAACACAAACGUACACAAUGCAGCAAAAUUCUCCCCGAAAAGUUGUUUCCACGUUCUGAAGGAAAAACAAAGCAGUUGCGUACAAAAGAAUUAACCACGAAAAUUCCUUCACAAAUCAAACGAAAACCCAAAUGCAAAUUCAAUUGCAUGUAUAUAUAUUUUAUUUUAUUUAUUGUAUCUAUGUAUGUACCAAUGCAUGAAUGUAGCAAACCCCAAAAUUUGUUGUGAAAUUGCAAAAGAAUAAAAAUUCUACAAAUCUUGGAUUCUAAAUUCUAAUGCCCAAAAUCAAAUAGUAGUAGAGGCACUUUUAUUUAAGAUAAAAAUAGAAACAAAAGAAUAGAGUGGGCAUAUAAACCAUGUAAAUAUAUUUUGACAGGUGUAAUGGGAAACAAAAUUAAAUAAAUAGUUAUUGAAAAUAAUGGGAUGGAUACGAAGUCCCAGGUGAAACCCCAACAACAGUACUUGCACAGUUACACUACACUACAAAAAGAUUUUAAUUCCAUUAAUAAUGAUAAUAAAUUUUUUGUACCGAAUAAACGACAAUAAUAUUAAUAUUAAAAACUAGUUAUAAAAGUUAUUCUGAAAAAGAAAAACAAAUCUUGUAAAAUCUUUGAGAAAAUAAGGGGACACAAAAGAAAGUGAACUGCUGUCUGCUGUGGCAGCGGGAAGCGGCUGAGAUUCUACACUGAAAGACGUGCAAGUGUACUUGACAACACUUUUGCUCUAAUAAAAUUUGUUGUCGUUUUAUAAAUUUUAAUAACUUAACUAUUAUCUACUUCUAAGAUAAUUUUGUAAAAUGAAGAUAAACGAUUUCAUACCAGCAAUGAGUUUAUUGAGUUAUCUUAUCACUUAUUUAAAUCUUAAUAACAUUCAAUUUAUUACCUUUAGUAUCAAUCAUCAUCAAUAAUAACAUAUAAAUUAAAAUUAUUCAUAGUAACUCACAAAAAUAGCAUUACACGUUUUCAUAACUUCAUUAUUCUUUUUACAGGGCUUCAUUAUUGUUAUGAGAGUGUAUAAAAGGUAUUAAUAGCAUAAUAAUAAACGUGGCAGCAUAAUUAAUCUUAAUUAUUUUUUGAAAUGCAAUAGAAAAAGAAAAAAAAAUUUCAAAUCGAACUAAGAAACAGAUCCAAUAAUUUUAAAAGAUUUCAUAAUAUAUUUAUUGUUUAAAGAUAUAUUUAUUAAUUUCUACGAAUAAUCUAUAUAUAAUUUCUAAGAAUGGGUUAACUCAGCAUAUCAUCUAAUAAUAAAAAAAUAUUUAAAAAUUUGUUAGUGGAUUUAUCGUUGAUAAAAUUCUUCAAAUAUUUAAAAAGUUGUUAGUAGAUUUAUUUUUGAUAAAAUUCCUCGUAGUCUAAGUUGUAUCAAGUAAUCUAAAUGAAUGUUAAUUUAAAAGGUGAAGGUGUGUAGUGCGCGCAAUAUUAACUGAAAGUGAUGAAACAACCCAACGAACCACAAAAUGAAUGGCACAUUUUCUUGGCUUGCUUUCUUAAGUCUCGUUUGGUUUACUCGUUGGCUUUCCUACUCCUCCACAUUCCGCAACAAACUGGCGUUUGCAACAUUUGUCUUUUGCUUCGGCAGAUAAAACCAUGUUUGUAUAACCAUCACAUCCAAAUAUGUUCAAAAUAAAAUAUAUGAAAAGUAUUUUCUUAAAAGAAAGUACAAUCAACGCUUAAAAAAUAUAUUCAAAACGAUUAUCUAAAAUGAGUUUAAUAUAGAUAAUAUCUUUUAGCAUACAAUUUUCUUUGACAAUUUUACUUACCCUUUUUUAUAAAAGUUAAUGUCAUUAUCUAAUAUGUUAACUUUUUUGUUAGCAAGAAGAAGGAUUGAAACACACCAUCUUUUGUUAUGUUUCUUCUCUCUUAACUAAAAUCAAUCUUAUAACUUCAAUUUCCUUACUUUUUUAAUUACAAAGUAUAAUUGUUUUUACCUUUUUCAUUUUUUAUUCAGCAUUCUCAGCUUUUCCAAAAAAAAAUUCUUUUAACUUUUUCAAAACUUCCUUUUAUUUUUCCACAAAAAAAAAAAACCCCCACUUUCUCUCACCCUCUCAUAUGAGUUAAUGUCCUUUCCUCAUGCUUGUAUUUCCCUUUCCUCUCAAAAUAUUGUAUUGGACUUUUUUUAACAGAUAAUAUAAUACACUAUUGUUUUAUAUGGUCUAUGAUGCACCAUCAUUGUUAAUAGCUUUUAGAUUAAUUUACAGGGCAACUUUUUUAUCAUGGAUUUUCCACACAUCUGAUCCUUACUAUUUCUUCAUGGUACCACUCUUCGUUGUGCAUCACCUUCAAAGGCAAUUUGGGGACAGAAUUGCCACUUAUUUUUCUGCUUCUUCUCCCUCUUUGUCACCUUUGGCGGACCCUCCAUUAACCUCAUGCUUGGCAGCACCAUCAUCAUCAACCUUAACUCCACUACGUCCCCCAUAGAAAAUGGUCAAAGAAGGAACCAAAUGGAGACCAACGACGACCAAGGUAUUAAUCAGGGGAGGAGCAGCGAUCAAAUGUGGAGAGUCCAUGAUAAGAAAUAAGAAGAUUCACUAUAUAUUAAUCUAAAAGAGUAUUAACAAUGGUGCACCACAUACCACAUGAAGUAGUGCUGUGUCGUAGAAUCUAACACUAUAAUAAUAGGGNNNNNNNNNNNNNNNNNNNNNNNNNNNNNNNNNNNNNNNNNNNNNNNNNNNNNNNNNNNNNNNNNNNNNNNNNNNNNNNNNNNNNNNNNNNNNNNNNNNNUCAUCUACAUCAAUUGGAAAGAGUAUGCUUUCUCAUAUCUACCAUUCUCAUAAGUUCGAUCUAGUUAAAAAUUCAUUGAUAUUUCAUGCCAAUUUUCCCUUUUCACUGCACAAAUAAAUAUAUAAACAAUGAUUUUGUAAAUAAAAAAAAAUGAAAUGAUAAAAUUUGAUGUGACUUUUUUUUAAUUUUAAAAUCUUAUGUCUAGACAUAGGAUAAAAAUAAGAAUAAAAUAUGAUAUUUUUAAUAUCUUUUAUUGACUUACGACUUAACUUCUUAUCUUUAUUCCGUUACAUUCGUCCUUUAAUAGUAUAUUUAUGAAUGAACAAUCAAUUAUAUAAUAAAAAAAUUCAAUUUUUUACACAAAAAUAAAUUUAAAGUACAUGCAAUAUAACUGAAAAGAAUUAAAGAUAAAUUUUACAUAAAUAAUUAUACAUGUUUAUUACCCUAGAAAGAGAUUUGGGAAUAUCCUCCCAAACCUCAACCAUGUCUAUCAAUUGAUAGUUAUAUCCAAAAGAAAUCAAGAAUCAACAACAUAAUAUCAAGAAGUUUUUCACCUUUUUACUUUGAAGCAAUUCAAGAUCAACAAUAAAAUGGUGUAAGAUAAAUGUUUUUAAGAAAAAAGAAAAAAUAAUUAAAUUCUUAAAUUAGUGCAGAAGUAUCAUACCUUGACCUUGCAGAUCUCUUUUAACAAUAAUGUUAUCUUCACUUGUAGAUCUUGUUUGGAUAUGAAGAUUCACUUCAUGGCAGAAAAUCAAAUUUAAUAAAUUUAAAAUGUAGUCAUAAAUGAAAAAAAAAAUCACAAAAAAGAUGAUCGCAAUCGCAACAAAUUGUGACAGAGUUUGCUUAAGACAAACAAAUAUGUGCGACGUGAAAUGUUUUAAGAGUUUAAAUUUUUUUGAAGCUGAAGUGAGAAGAAACUAACCUCUGAUGAAUUUUGUUAAAUUUGAGAGCAGUACUUGUUUUUCUUCACCCCCCAGAACUUUUAUAAACCCAAAGGAGGAUGUAAGCAUUCUAAGAUUUUUCUACUUUAAAUUUGAGAGCAGUACUUGUGACAGAGUAUUUGUAAGCAUUCUAAGAUUUUUCUACUUUAAUCUGUAUUUUUAUAUUUUUUUUAAUUUUAAUAAUUUAUUUCUAUAUGCACCAAAAAUAAUAAUAAAUUAUGUGAUGUAAUAUGAAGGAAAGAUUUAAAAGAAAGCAAAUAAAAAAGUAAAAAUAUCAUAUAAAUAUAUAAAUAAUUAAUGCGUGUGAAAAUUGAAAAAAGAAAAACAUAAUUGAGGUAUCAAUAGAAGUGAUAUGGUGGAAAGAAAAAAAAUAAGACAGGUUGCAGGGUGUGAGUGUAACACUGUGACUAAGGGUAGUUGUUUGACGUAAUAUAAUGCUAGUAAAUAUUAUUAAUAUUAAAUGUUCAAUUUUUAUUUAUUAAUAAUUAAAUUGAAGCGACAAAGUUUUUGCCAAAAAAAAAAUAGUUUAAUUGAUUUAAUAGAGGGCGUGAAUAUUAGAAAUCCUUUGGUAGUGUCUUUUGUAGAAUUGUAGUAGGUGUUGGGUACGUGAGUACUCUACACCGAUAAUGGAUAAAUUGUAGUGAUUCAUCAAAAAUGUUAUUGCAUAAACCACCUUAGUCACAACCUAAAGUCGACAACGACUCAUCCACAUAUGAGACUUGUGUAAAUGCUCUCAAUAUAUCCCUGGCCUCCACUACUUUGGACCCUAAGUCCAGCAACAAUGAUAUAAUUAUAUUCAGUUUUGUUGGAGUUGAUACCCAUAAAAAAAAAUUACUAAGAAAGUUUCUUUUUUCUUAAUGUCAAUUUCUAAUAUUACAAUAAUUAUUAAGUUAUUAUGAUUGGUUUAAUGGUUGAAAAAAAGAAAAAAAUCUUGAAUUCAAAUUUCUCUCACUCAUAAAAAUUAACAAACUAGAACAUCAAUAAAAAAAUAUAUUAUGAUAAUUAUCAACAAUUUUUAUUUAGUAUUAUGAAUAAACAUCAAUAAAAUAAAUUAACAUGUAAUCAUUCUACUGUCUUAAUUUUAACUUAAAAGUUUUUUUUAAAAAAAAACUUUAAUAGAAAGAUUAAUUAUCAUCCACAUGGGUAUGAACAAAUUUAUCAAGUAAUAUUAAUUCAUUAUUUUUUUUUAUCAUAGUGACUAUGAUCUUUAACUCAGAUAUAAGGUUGAUCUAAUGAUGAAAGAAAAAACAGAAGAGAAAAAAUUAUAAAUUUGAAUUUUCUGCUAAAAAAAAUUAGCAAUUUAAUAGCUAACAUUUGUAAAUAAAACUAAAAUAGGAUCUUUGACUUCCUUAUUGGAUCUCAAGCUAGGUAUCCUCACAAGUUUAACUUUUUAAGCUUAAUAUAAAACUAAUCUUGGAUCCGAAACUUAAUUACAUUUGAAAAUUUAACCUACAUUUUUUCCUACAAACUCAACUUAUUGUCAACUAAGUUAUGUGCACUAGGUACAUUAAUUCGUUACUAAUCGAUCGAGGGCAACAAUAAAAAAUAAUCAGAGCAUAAUAUAUAGGUAAUUUACCACAUAUCAUUGCAUCAAAUCUUACUUUCACUCUUCCCUUUUAGAAUUUGAGAUUUAUGAUUUUAUUCUCAUCUCUUUAUUAACUUUUAUGGAAAUGCUUCCUCAUAGCUAAAUUAUUCUAAUCCUAUUCUCCUUUGAAUUUUAUGGAGAAUCUCAUCUUAUUACACUGUAAUCUUCUUAAUCUAUCUUAAAAUAACUAUACAAUCAUCUCUGUUAUUACUAAGUAUUAGAAUUGUUUUUUAAUGAUAGACUAAGUAUUAGAAUUGUUAUUGUUAUUAUUAAUAAUAGUAAUGUUAGUAUUAUUUUGUUAUUCUUUUACUAGUUAUUAUCAUAAUUUUGGUUUUUAUAAGUCCUAGAUGACUAAGAAUCACAUUUAUUAAUUUUUUUUCUCUCACUCGAGACAUGCAUCUCAUAAUUUACAUUUCAGUUAAUUUCCUUUCUUAGUAUUUGGCUAAUUUGUUAAUAUAUAAUCCAACACUUGUAGAGAUACUUUGGCUAAUUUAUUACUGUUGUGAAUUAUAAUGGACAAACAAAAAACAUUAACUUAAUUUCAGAACAGCCAAUGCAGUCGAGAGUGGGGAGCAAGACAGUUGGCAAAAAAGACAAAGAGGAGAUUCAUGGCACCAACAUAUUUUACACAAAACUAAGAAAUUUUUGUAAAAGUCCAUGUAAUCUACGUAUUUAUUUGUGGUCCUGACACAACUAAAAACACAUAUAUCAGACGCUGGAUUGCACUUAAACAGGUGAAUAUAGAAAGCAGGAUAUCAAUAUGUAUCAUGCAUUAAUUGUAAGCAUGAAGGUGCUAAAUGCGAUUUAGCUUGAGCAGCUUGGUGAUGGACAUCACUGUAACAACGAGAAGGAGAAUGAGGCCAACGAAAGAGGCAACGAGGGCAACACCACCUCUGUUGCAGUAUGCUUCGAAUUUGUCACAUAUCUUAUCCCACCUUGCAUGUGAAUUACCAUUCCUUCCUAAUUCUGCCAUGAAUGUUGCUGCACCAUCUCCAGUUGCUGCUAGAGCCAUCGUCAUCUUCACCCAAAAGUAUACAUAGUCAAAUAGUUUUCAUAUAUAUUUGUUAAUUUAAGAAUUUAAUUUUGAUAAAAUGUUAGUAUAACAAUUUGUAAGUUAUCAACUAAUUAAAAAUCACUUUAAAUAUGAACUUUAAAAUAAUUAUUAUAAAAAUCACUCAUACAACAAUCUAUUAUAAGAGUUGAUCUUGACAUUUUAUGAAUCUCAAGCCAAACAAUAAAUAAGAACCCCUUACAUACGUAUAUUCAUAAGAAAAUAUAAACACAUAAUUUUACUAAAAAUAAUUUAUAAAUUUAUUUCAUAAAAAAAAUAAUUAAGAGGGUGAUACUUCCUAAUAAGCAUGCCGCAUUUUAAUUUGAGUUUAAAAGGAAUAAAAGUGGUAAUUUUAAUCUAUUUAUGAAAAUAAUAUAAAAAGAGCCUAUUAUUCAAUUUCAACCGAUGAACUUUUUUUUCAUAAAAAAUAGUCUGUUUCCUGUCUUGGGCCACGGGCCAUUACCAGGUCCGAAAUUGACUUUAUAUGUGAUUAUUUGUUUUUGGUUGAGAAAUUUUAGGGGAAGCCAAAAGGAGAUGGUUUUCCACAAAAAAAAAAAAAAAAAACCUCUGGCCUCAAAAAAUAUUUACAAAAACUUACAUUUAUCUCAAAUGGGAAUUCAAAUAUACAACCUGUCUUACUCUCCUCAACCAAUUCCUUGGGAUGACUUUAUAUAUGAUUAGAGAACUAUGUAAAGAUUUUUAUAUUUUAUAUUAUUGUAAAUUCUAAUUAAAUUCUUAAUUCAAAUAAAAAAAAUGUGUAAAAGUGAAGGUGACUAAAAAAAAGAAGGAUCCAUUCAGUACCACGUCUAAUAUUGCAAUCAGUCCAAGGCGAAGUCCUUUGUAAUCAUAUUGGGGUCCUAAUAUCUCCACUCCUAUCACCAGCAAGUUAUAGAAACUGGCAAUUGCAUUGACUAUCACGAAGAAUCUGCCUCACCAUAAAUAACACAUAAGAAGGUCAACAUGUCUAAUAUAGUACUAUAAUAUUGCAAUGUUAAAAAAAGUGUAAACGAAAACAAAGGAAAAGUAAACCAUAUGAUUUGUAGAACUAACAUAAAAGCUGGAGUGUGCUGAAACAUUGCAGUAAGAGUAAUUGUUACUGGGUUGGUGCCAAUGGUAGCAACUACCAUGCCUUUGGUUUGUUUGUUGAAUGCCAUAACAAGUGUAGCAGAUGCUGUGGCAAAAAAUGCGACCACCCUAAGGGACAAAAUGACCCAAUCCUUCUUGGGCUUGGGAUCAGGAACAGCACUGAAAGCAAGCUCUAGUUUGUCUCCAUUUUCUGAGGCCAUUGUCCAAGUAUUUGCCAGUUGAUUACCGUAGUGAGAAAAUGGUCGGAGAUAAUGCAAAUGGCCUAAGGAGAAGGAUGGGUUAAUAUAGGAUAAAGCAAAAUUGAUCAACCAUAUCAUUUGUUAAGUCUAAGAAGCCAAGUGUGGGUUCUGUCUCUGAAUUCUUAAGGUUGUCGGACCAACUAUAUUCAGUUGUUGCAAAUUGGUGAGAAAUAUGUGAGUAGCUGCAACUCCAAAAUUUUAAUUCUAUAUUAUUAAAAAUAAAAAAUAAAGUAAUGUUUCAUAACAACAACAAUUAUAGCAACAAUGUUAAAAGUUUAGUAAUCGAUGAGCAUGUAACAUGAAUAAAUUGACAUAUUGUUACAGGUUCAAACUUUAUAUUAACUUUGCCUCAUUUAACUUUGACAUUGAAUAAAUGAUGUGCGUGGGGUGAGUGUUAUUAAUUAUUACUGGCUUCUCUAAAUGAGCAACAGAGCUAGUCAGUUUAUUUGAGGGUAAGAUAAACAAUUUUAACGGUGUGUUGUAGUAGUAUUUUUUUUAUUUUUAUUUUUUGAAAUCACGGUGUGUUUUAUUUUGUGAUUUGAACUUUAUCUCAAUUUGAUGCAGUUGCAAAUUUGCAGUGUCUCUCUCUCUCUCUCUUCCCCAUGUCUCUCAUUCUCUCAACAAUGUAAGUAUUAUUUUUAUAUUUGAAUUUUUUUAUCUACGCUAAAUUAAAGAUAUUUUCCUAAAAACUUAUUAAAUUUACACCCAGAAGCAGAAUAUUUUAAUACAAAUAAAAUUAAUUAUAUUUAUUUUAUUACUAGAUCAAUAUAUUAAUUAAAUAUGUAAAAAGUUCCAUAGAUGAAUAAAAAAAUUACCGUGAAUAAAAAGUUCCUUAAAUAAUAAUUUUACCGACUAUUUCUCUUUUCCUAUGGCUGUUUAUACUUUACAUACCAACCACCCACCGUAAGCACGAUAAAAAAAAAUACUGUAAAUAUCACUUUUCAAAUUUUAACACACAUUUUGAGAACAUUAUUUUUAAAUUCAACGCUAUUGACAACGAAAGAUAAUUUUAAACAAAUACAUCAUCUCCAAUAAAUUACUCGUCGUAUAAAAAAACACACCCUUUAUUUUGAACAAAUUCAACAAAUUUUAUUAUUAUUAAUUUAUUAUCUCCGUCAUCAGUAUAUCAACAAAUUCAACGCGGUUUACGGCUUGGCUUAGAUUGAUUUUGAAGUUAAUUUAUUCCAUUUGAUCAUUUUUGAAAAACCUAUACUACAAAGAAAAGUCAAAUUUAAUUAAUCAAAUAUAAUCUUUUAUAAUUUUUGUUAAACAAAUUAUAUAUUUUUUACUGGAAAAAUCUUUAUUUUUAAUCAAUAAACAAAUGAAAUUUCAUAAGAUAGGAAUUUUGAACCGGCAUAUAAAUUCCUCUAUUAGUUAAUUUUUCAUUUAAGGAAAAAUACUUAUUAAAUAAAAAAUUAAAUAUAUAGUAAAUAUAAAAAUCUUGUUCAGAUACUAAAUUUCAUCACAAACCGUAACUUGAUAUAAAUUACAAAUUACAAGUUAAAACAACUUCAAGUUUAUUUUAAGAAACUAAUACAAGUUUACUAUAUUUAUGGUUUUGUUUAAUUUAUUUCUAUUUUGAACAUUAAAACAAAAAAAUAAAAUUGAACAGAAUGUUGUUCAUUUUUUUCAACAAACGAUUUUAAAGAUUUAUUUGAUUUUUUUUAGACCAGUCUGCUAAUUUUGAACAGUUUGGAAAAAUAAUUUUUUUAAUAGUAUUCUAUAAUAAACAAGAUUUUUGUGAGUUGUGAUAAGGCUAAAAAUAAUGGUGACUUUGGAUUGCUGUCAAGGGACAUUUUGCGUAAGCGUUACGAACAAGUAAAAUAUAUUUUAUGAUUUUCAAUUUACAUCUUUAAGGUAGUUAUUUAAAAUAAAAAAUCAGAACCUGUUAGGUAAACACAAACUUAACAUAUUAUUCUUAUACAUAAUCAAUAACAAUUUUACAAAUAAUAAAAUAAAAUAAAGAAAAAAAUCAGAAUGUCAAAUAAAAGUAAAUUUGAUAUUGUUUCAGUUUUUUUCCUAAUCUUUCUAAUUUUUUUGUCAAAUCAAACAUACAGAUCAUGAGUGAAACUUCUUAAAUAAAAAAUAACCUACAAAAUUUUGUUCUUUAUGAUAAAAUCUUACCAAUAUAAAAAUAUGUCAAAAAUAUUUCAUAAAGUAAAUUAGUAAUAUUUAUUUUUUAUGAUAAGAAAAAGUCUAAUCACCUACACAAAUAAUAUUAUAAAAGAAUACAUAUUUCAAAUUAUAAUUUAAAUUGUAAAAACAAACAGAUAACUUGAAUAAAUGAAUUAUAAUGACCACAAAUUGAAAUAAAAAUUUUCACUGAAAUUAUUUUAAUAUAUAAUAUUCAUGUUGAAGGUAAGUCAAACUUUUUAAAGAAAUUUAAUUUUAUGAAGUGCAUGAGAUGCAGGAGUUUCAAGAAAGUGGAGUGAAGCUUCAUUUUAUUUAUAAUUAUAAUUAAUUAAUAAUUUUAAAAAGAAAAAAAUAUAAACAAAAAGUAAAAUACUAAAACAUGUUGUGCCUUGAACAAUAUGCGACUUCAUAUUGAGGAAUUUUUUUUCUUAAUUCUAACUUUUUAUUUAUAAAUUUUAUUUUAAAAAUUAUUAACUAUUAUAGUUAUAGUUUGAUUUUAAUUUUAAACUUUUGAUAUGUGUUUACCAAACUGAAUAUAUCUUUCUUUUUUAGUACACUGAAUAUUAAUAUUACAGAAAUAUUUAUAAAUCCUAAUUAAAAUUGCAUUCUGGAAAUUAAAAUUAUAAACCCAACAUCAACCAAGUUUUACUAUUGCUUAAAGCCAACAUGUUUUUUUUUCUUUAAUAAAGUUAUUAUUUAAAAUUAAAUUCUCUACAAUUUUACACCACCAAAUCAUAUUAUUUUGACAUUUAAAUUAUAAUCUUGUACAUAUUUCAAUUUCAAUGCAAUUUAGAAAAAAAAAAAGGAAGACGAUUAUAAAAAACAGAAAAAAUAUCAGAUUUAAUUUUACUUUGGUAUUCUGAUUUUUUAUUUAUUUUAUUAGUUAUAAAAAUUUUAUUAGUUGCCUCUGAGAAUGUUGUGUUAGACUUUAUCUACCCAAGAGUUUCUCAUAAAAAAUACACCUUAAUUUUCUAUUUUUUUUAGGGGACCUUAAUUUUGUACUUAUUAAUAUAUAUAUAUAUAUAUAUAUAUAUAUAUAUAUAUAUAUAUAUAUAUUUCGUGAAUAUUGUUAAGAUACAUAUUGAAAAAAAUAAUAAAUAAAAAAAUAUUUAAAAUUAUGUAAAAGUGCAUUCAAAUCAUGAUAAAAAUUACAAUCCCUAAUAUUGUUUUUAGUAAAACCUUUUUACUAAACACUUGUCUUGUUUUAUUUGAAGUUUUAUAAUUUUACUAAACAUUUGUAAGUUAUUAUUCUUUUAACAUUUACUACUAUUCCUUUCUUUUUCCUUUGCUUUUCCCUUAUUUGAUUUAUGCAUGGAUUAUGUCCUUUCAUUUGUUUUGACAAUAUGCUAUUGUCAUUUCCGUAUGAUCGUAUAUAUCAUUCACAGAUAAAGCAGAUGUUGAAAUUAAAAUAUAAAAAACAGUUUCGUAAAUUUAUCCAUAACAUAACUUUAUUAAUUUAAAUUAUAACAUAAUAUUAUUUUUAUUAUAUACUUCACAUCAAUUUUGUAAGUAUAAUUAUAAUUAUUACAUUUUGUAAAAAAAUAUAAUUAUUAAAGUGAAAAAUAAGAAGUUAUUGAUAAAAUUAAUCUAUUUUAAAUAAUUUAAAAAUUCAUAAUAGUGAAUUCACUUUCAACUUAUCAAAACAUAAAGUAUGUGUGUCAUGAGCUACUUAAAACGUCAAACUUAACAAUGUGUUGUUUAAGAACAUUUUCAACUCGGGUGUUUUACUUAAAUUAAACAACAAUGCUUAACAAAUUUUUAUUAUUAGAGCAUAUAACUUGACAUUGUGUUGAUUAUAUAAAUAAUUGUUGCUUAAUUUAUUUUUAGCAAUUAAAAGAUUAUUUUUCAAUUAUAAAAUUUAACAUGUCUCAAGUACUUAUUUUAUCAAUUUUAACAUUUAAGUAAAUUUUUGUAUAAUUAUGUUUAAUUAAAGAUAAUGUUAGGAUUUCUAUGACCCGCUCUAUUUAUUUGUAGUUUCUUUUUGUUGGGCUUUGCUCCUUCUCAGCAUUUUAAAAAAAUUAUAAAAUUUUUAAAUUUAUAUGACACGUAAAACUUGUAAAUUUAAGAUAAAUAAUUUAUUUGAGUAAUUAUGUAAGAUGCUCUUAAUUUUUAUCUGUUUUAUUUUACCAUAAAAAAAAAGUAAAAGCGACCAAUGUUUUAUACUUUUAUGAUGAUUAAAAAAAAAAAAAAAGAAACGUAGACUAAUAGUCGCUGAAGAAAUUUCCGAAAGUGUGUGUGGGAUGAGAAGAUGAUGAGGAAACAUUGGUAGAAGAAAUUGAAGAGAGAGAGAGAGAGAGAGAGAGAGAGAGAGAGGGUUGGAUUGGUUUUCUUCUUCCUUUUCUCUAAAGAGAAUCUAAUCUCAAUCCUCAUUACAGAUUUCUUCAUUCCUCUCUCAGUCUUUUCUGUUUUCCCCCUUUGACAUCCUCGUUUUCGCCGAAACAAAAACAACUAAGAUUUUUUGUUUGUUUUGUUUUUCUUCUCCUUGUUGUUAUUUGACUCGGUUGUCUGAAUAGGUUGUUGCAGCAGGGUCGGGAGCCACAGGUAUUGCCAGAUCCUUUGUUAUUUCCAUUAUCUUGUUUGUUUUGAUUUUCUGUUUUGGGUGUGUUUUGUUUGGUUAUGGAACAUAUGUGUCUGGUUUUGGUUUUGGUUUUGGAGCAUAUUAUAUUGGACAUGUUGAUUCUCGAAUGUUGGGGUUGGUCAUAUUUGUCUGCGGAGCAGGUGCUACAUGUUUUUGACUUGGAUCAGGCAUUCUGGUGUCUGGUUUCCUGCGUAAAACAAAUUAGUGGGAAUUUUGGUUCAAUUGGUUAUUGAUUCAUUUGCGUGUGAGUCUUAGGGUUUCAUUUUGGUUGAGUUUCCUGGUGAAUGGUCUUUAACUUUGCAGCUAUGCAGAGCCAAGUUGUGUGCAAUGGUUGUAGGAGCCUUCUGCUUUACCCAAGAGGGGCAACCAAUGUUUGUUGUGCAUUGUGCAACACAAUUACCUCUGUUCCUCCCCCUGGUAAGCUCAUUGGCUGUUUCUGUUGUUGCAAAUUUUAAGAUUAGGUAAACUUACACAUUUUAUAUUGGUGUGUCUCCCGUCUUUAUCUAUUGGUAUGUGCUAUUUAUUCAAUUUGAAACAAAUCAUGUUGCCUUCUGGGUUUAAUAUUUACAUGUAGUCAGACUCCAUUUUGAUGCUUAUUCUGAGGAACUCUACCAUAAUAAUAACCUGCAGGGAUGGAAAUGUCUCAACUUUAUUGUGGAGGGUGUAGGACAUUGCUAAUGUACACACGUGGAGCUACAAGUGUGAGAUGUUCCUGCUGUCACACUGUAAACCUUGUUCCACCAGGUACUAAAUGUUAGUAUGUUCUUGUUAAAAAAAAAACACUACAUGUUAGUAUGUUACCUUAGUGGUCUAGCAUUGAUUUUGGUGGACUGUAUGUUAAUUUGCUUGUUAAUAUAAAUCUUCUAUUUUAUAAUUGUGGUGUGAUGUUUUGUUGGAUUACUUGGUUAUUGAAUAUAUGGUUAACGUGAAUGGUGUUACCAAAUCCUAGUGAAGGGGUCAGCAAGGGGUGCAUUAAGGUGAUCCUUUUAUUUAUUUAUUCAUUUAUUUCCUGUGUAUUCUUUGGGAUGCUUCUGGCUUGCUACUUAAGAAGAUUGCUACCAACUUGACCUUUUAUUAUAAAGAAGAUUUCCCUUUUUGAGGGAGGUCAUGACCACAUAACCUCAAUUCAGUCUUCCUCAUCUAUUAUCCCUCUUUGUUCAAAUUCCUAUAGGGUGGAAGAUAAGAUUGAAAAAAUUAUGUGAGAUUCCUUUCACAUGUAGUUGGAGAUUGUAAUAGGGUCAUCUGGUUAUUUGCCAGUUUGUUGUAAGGCUAGAAAAGAAUGAGNNNNNNNNNNNNNNNNNNNNNNNNNNNNNNNNNNNNNNNNNNNNNNNNNNNNNNNNNNNNNNNNNNNNNNNNNNNNNNNNNNNNNNNNNNNNNNNNNNNNNNNNNNNNNNNNNNNNNNNNNNNNNNNNNNNNNNNNNNNNNNNNNNNNNNNNNNNNNNNNNNNNNNNNNNNNNNNNNNNNNNNNNNNNNNNNNNNNNNNNNNNNNNNNNNNNNNNNNNNNNNNNNNNNNNNNNNNNNNNNNNNNNNNNNNNNNNNNNNNNNNNNNNNNNNNNNNNNNNNNNNNNNNNNNNNNNNNNNNNNNNNNNNNNNNNNNNNNNNNNNNNNNNNNNNNNNNNNNNNNNNNNNNNNNNNNNNNNNNNNNNNNNNNNNNNNNNNNNNNNNNNNNNNNNNNNNNNNNNNNNNNNNNNNNNNNNNNNNNNNNNNNNNNNNNNNNNNNNNNNNNNNNNNNNNNNNNNNNNNNNNNNNNNNNNNNNNNNNNNNNNNNNNNNNNNNNNNNNNNNNNNNNNNNNNNNNNNNNNNNNNNNNNNNNNNNNNNNNNNNNNNNNNNNNNNNNNNNNNNNNNNNNNNNNNNNNNNNNNNNNNNNNNNNNNNNNNNNNNNNNNNNNNNNNNNNNNNNNNNNNNNNNNNNNNNNNNNNNNNNNNNNNNNNNNNNNNNNNNNNNNNNNNNNNNNNNNNNNNNNNNNNNNNNNNNNNNNNNNNNNNNNNNNNNNNNNNNNNNNNNNNNNNNNNNNNNNNNNNNNNNNNNNNNNNNNNNNNNNNNNNNNNNNNNNNNNNNNNNNNNNNNNNNNNNNNNNNNNNNNNNNNNNNNNNNNNNNNNNNNNNNNNNNNNNNNNNNNNNNNNNNNNNNNNNNNNNNNNNNNNNNNNNNNNNNNNNNNNNNNNNNNNNNNNNNNNNNNNNNNNNNNNNNNNNNNNNNNNNNNNNNNNNNNNNNNNNNNNNNNNNNNNNNNNNNNNNNNNNNNNNNNNNNNNNNNNNNNNNNNNNNNNNNNNNNNNNNNNNNNNNNNNNNNNNNNNNNNNNNNNNNNNNNNNNNNNNNNNNNNNNNNNNNNNNNNNNNNNNNNNNNNNNNNNNNNNNNNNNNNNNNNNNNNNNNNNNNNNNNNNNNNNNNNNNNNNNNNNNNNNNNNNNNNNNNNNNNNNNNNNNNNNNNNNNNNNNNNNNNNNNNNNNNNNNNNNNNNNNNNNNNNNNNNNNNNNNNNNNNNNNNNNNNNNNNNNNNNNNNNNNNNNNNNNNNNNNNNNNNNNNNNNNNNNNNNNNNNNNNNNNNNNNNNNNNNNNNNNNNNNNNNNNNNNNNNNNNNNNNNNNNNNNNNNNNNNNNNNNNNNNNNNNNNNNNNNNNNNNNNNNNNNNNNNNNNNNNNNNNNNNNNNNNNNNNNNNNNNNNNNNNNNNNNNNNNNNNNNNNNNNNNNNNNNNNNNNNNNNNNNNNNNNNNNNNNNNNNNNNNNNNNNNNNNNNNNNNNNNNNNNNNNNNNNNNNNNNNNNNNNNNNNNNNNNNNNNNNNNNNNNNNNNNNNNNNNNNNNNNNNNNNNNNNNNNNNNNNNNNNNNNNNNNNNNNNNNNNNNNNNNNNNNNNNNNNNNNNNNNNNNNNNNNNNNNNNNNNNNNNNNNNNNNNNNNNNNNNNNNNNNNNNNNNNNNNNNNNNNNNNNNNNNNNNNNNNNNNNNNNNNNNNNNNNNNNNNNNNNNNNNNNNNNNNNNNNNNNNNNNNNNNNNNNNNNNNNNNNNNNNNNNNNNNNNNNNNNNNNNNNNNNNNNNNNNNNNNNNNNNNNNNNNNNNNNNNNNNNNNNNNNNNNNNNNNNNNNNNNNNNNNNNNNNNNNNNNNNNNNNNNNNNNNNNNNNNNNNNNNNNNNNNNNNNNNNNNNNNNNNNNNNNNNNNNNNNNNNNNNNNNNNNNNNNNNNNNNNNNNNNNNNNNNNNNNNNNNNNNNNNNNNNNNNNNNNNNNNNNNNNNNNNNNNNNNNNNNNNCCCCCCCUUGGACUUAUCUAUCUGUGGUACUGUAUGAUUUGUAAAUUUUGGAACCUUAUCUUUUUGUGAAUUCAUUUUCCAGCAAAUAACAUAGAAUAUAGGUUUGUGUCAGAAUCCCCCCCUCCCCCAAAAAAGAAGCAGCAGGAGCCACAUUCAUCAAUUCUUCCUUCAUGAUCAACCAAUGAAAAUGUUGAUUCUUAACACUUGUCCUUGCCCUAUUGUUUUUGCUUACAGUCUGGAGAAGAACAAUCUUAAUCACAAAGAUAUAAAAACAUGACUGUUAGUAUAAAUGGCAAACAGUUGUUAUAAUUUAUAGCCAGC